rnacentral:lncRNA from 1 species
AUAACAGUUUGUCUCAUGUUGCAAUACAACGAACCGGCGAGCAGUUCAUCACAUCACUCUACCGGCCGGCUUGCUGCUGUGUCGCAGGCAGAAGGAAUUGAGCCUGUCAAGGCCGUCUUCGAGAGAAGACGGAUCAAUUGCAAAGGUGAUCCGGAGCCAAUCCUUGCAUCCCACAACACGUCCUGACAACAAUUUGUUUCCAACAUGUUACAUUACAGUACGUCUCAAACACAAAAAGGUGAUCUCGAUCUCAAGGUGGCUGCAAAAAAUGUCUACUAAACAUAUUGAUGAACUGAUGUGUAUUAGUUCUACAACUAUAGUUUCAAAAGAAUCAUGUAUGUAUAUGUUCAGGAGAACAAUAAAGCACCUGGCAGAACAACAACUGAUUCCUCCUUUGCCAGCCGGCAGCAGAAGUCCAUGUCAUCUUUGAUGUCCUGCAGGCAGGACAGAUCUAGCUUCACCUGUAGCAGGUCAUGGCAAUUUCACACCAGCCUGUUAGUGUUAGCGAAUCACUCAUGAUGUGUUUUGCUUCUGCAACAUGGAAGAGUACUAUAUAUGUACUGAAUCAUCACACACCAUUACAAACAUGGAUCCCAUUGGUUUGCUUGGGCAUGUGACUCCGUUGAUGUCCUUCAACUUCUCCCAGCAUAGAUCUGCACUUUCUUUGAGAAUUUUGAUGGUUUGUUGGAAGAAUUCCUCCUUGGAGUUCUCCAGGAGGUUCGGAACUGCUGCCUAAACAACAGAAUUUUGUGAUGUGAUUUAAGUCGAUGCAAACCAUUAAAUUUCCUACGCACAGUUUCAAGGCUUGCAAGAAACUGGCAAUGCAGUUAUAGUCACCUGAACAAAUGUUGUAGGAUCAGAGCAGAUAUAAUGGUAGGUCCUGAUGCUAGCGGCUACCUGAAAGAACAAAAAACAUGUGUAAGCAUUGUGCGACUGCAUUUUGCGCUCUACUUUCAUUUAAUUCCAAAAUCUGAAGAAUAGCUUCACUAUUAAAUCAGGUAUGUGCACAUUCCGUUAAAUGAAAUAUGAAAAAAAAAACUUCCCAAUACUGACUAUCACAAAACCGAUGUUCAAGCAUGAGAAGUAGUAAAUUGAGAACCUUGGUUCUCUGAAAUACACCAUUAGGAUCAUUGGUAACAAUCCAUCCCAGCCGCCAACCGGGCACCAGCCAUCUCUUUGAUAAUGACCCCAGUGUGAGCACUGGAGCCACAGCCCCAAACACACCCAUCGGCACAAAUUUCCUCUCUCCAAAUGUCAAGUGUGCGUAAGCCUCAUCUGCUAUUACAAAUAUGCCAAGCUUCCGUGCUGUCUCGGCAACCUACAAAAUCAUGGACACAAAUAGGCAUUCAGACUAUCCCCCAGAGCAGUCAACUAAGGCAGAACCGGAAGUAGCUUAUAUUAGAACUUGCCUUGGCCAGGUGCUCAUAGGAGUACACAUUGCCACAUGGGUUUCCUGGGUUGAUGAGGACAAUGGCAACAGUAUUCUUGUCAGCAAGAGCUUGGACGCAAUCAGUGUCAACCUCCCAGUCUUUCUCAGGUAGAAGAUCGAAGUACCGGGCUUCCAUUCCGUUGAAAACAGCGCGCGCCUCAUAAAACUUGUAGCCAGGUCUUGGGAGCAAGAUAUUGGCACCAGGACGAGCUAACACAGAGCAGAUUAUCUCAAUUGCUUGAACACAGCCGUUUGUGAGGUAGACAUCAUCGAGUGACAAUUCAUAUGGCAAAUCACGGGAUAAGUACUGCGCAAUGGACCUGAAAUUUGUGGUUUUAAACCACCAUAAGAUAACUAUGUUUAAAGUUGUGAAGAACAUAGAUGUAUAAUGGAAUCUGUAGUAAUUGAAAACAAAUUAGACUGUAUUUUGUGCUGCAAGAAAUAGCCAUUAAUGUCUGCUGGGUGAAAAUUUCAGUCUCCAAGCUCUCUUAGGUAUUGUGAGAAAUUUAAGGUGCAGGAUUCCAGUUAUUGUUUCUUAUGACCAUGAACCCGUUACAGUCCUAGGACUGAUGGGGAUAACAAGAAAAAAACCAUCGGGGAAACAUGAAACAAAAAUGUCAUGACUGAUCACAACCUAAGGAAGUGAAUCUUAUAGUAGGAACAUGAACCAAGGUGGAUAGCAAUGCAUUGUUGAUAUUAGUGGCUAUCACAGCAAGUUGAAGAAGACAAUAUUGGCAGGCGUAAGGUUUAUUGAUUCCCAGGCAGAGCAUAUAUAUACACUGCGUUAACUAGAACUGGUUGUUAAAAUCAUGUUGACUUCAGAAAUAUGAUGGGGAAAUCAAAGGGCCUUUCCACACACCUGGGAUAAUCCAGAUGCUAAAAAAUCCGAAAAAUCUGAUAUUAAUAUUCGUUUUAAUGUCAAUAUGGAUGUCUAUAUUUGUAUCUCAUUCAAGUAUGAAUACUACACAGAUGUAUUCAGAUUCCGGAUUCGUUUUUUAUGACUUUCCUCUAUCCGUUUUCAUAUCCAUAUUCAAAAAAAAGUAACAUUUUCCGUACUUAAGAAGAACAAAGUGCUCGGUAAUGCUGUUCGUAACUAUGAAGAACAUUAUACAUAGCUAUAAAUAACAAUGUCCGUGUCCAAUGUGAAAUAUAUCUAUGACUAAUUAACAAUUUAAAUGAUACUAAUUUUAAUAUUACAAAUGAUAUGCAUGAUUCAUCAAACUAUUUAAAAGCUAUCCUUUUGAUACAAUGCCAUUAUAUUAAAAUGAAGUAAAUAAUGCUAUCCGAAUCCAAAUCCAACCCUACCCACACAAGUCCAAUCCACAAAAUGUCCUUAUUUUAGCAUCUAGCAGUCCUAUUUGCAUCUAGAAAAAAUAGAGAUAGAAGGCCAAGAAGUCAGUCACCUCACCUCCGUGCUGGCUCAAGGCCGACGCAAGUGGAGUAGGAGUUGUACUCGCCGGACUGGAGCGCGCCGGCGACGGCGUCCACGGCCUCCGGCGACGUCCGGAAGCACGGGAACGCCGACGGGUCGCCGUGGCCCAUCGGGAUCACCGGCCGCCCGCCGCCGCCGCCGCCUGCGGCACCCAUCUCGGCCUUGAUCUUGGCUAGCACGCCGCGCACCGAGAUCGACGCCAGGCCCAGGAGGGUCUCGUUCGGCACGAAGUUCCACGAGUCCGGGACAGCCGCCACCUCCCCAUUGCUGGCCCUGGCGCUGUUCUCCAUCGGGGAAUGGCGAUUGCUCAGGCGCCCGCGCGCAAGGUUUGGCUUUGUUGGCGGACUGGCCACUUCGAGCUAAGCAGAGUGUGGCGGAGGAAGAAGAUGGGAAACAGAGGAACCAAGUUUUUUUUAAAAAAAAAAAAACAGAGGAACCAAGUUGGGGAGGAGGAAGAACCGAAGAAGAACACGUGAACAGAGUAACAAGAUGGGGAUUCAGAGAUCUCUCUACAAAUGGUUACGUGUCCUCUUCUUUUGUCCUUUUCUUUUCUUUAUUUAUUAUUCAGGAUAUUCUCCUUAUCCCCUAGGCCUUGUUUAGGUCUUGUUUAGUUUCCAAAUUUUUCAAGAUUUUCCGUCACAUCGAAUCUUGCGGCACAUGCAUGAAGCAUUAAAUAUAGACGAAAACAAAAACUAAUUACGUAGUUUACCUAUAAAUCGCGAGACGAAUCUUUUGAUCCUAGUUAGUCUAUGAUUGGAUAAUAUUUGCCACAAACAAACGAAAGUGCUACAGUAGCUAAAUCCAAAAUUUUUCCCAAACUAAACAAGGCCUAGUUCAUCCCGAAAACCAAAAUCUUUUCAAGAUUCUCCGUCACAUCAAAUCUUGGAGCACAUGCAUGAAGCAUUAGAUAUAGACGAAAAUAAAAACUAAUUACACAGUUUGCCUGUAAAUCACGAGAUGAAUCUUUUGAGCCUAGUUAGUCCAUGAUUGGAUAAUAUUUGUCAAAUAAAAACGAAAAUGCUACAGUGCCGAAAUCCGAAUUUUUUUCGGAACUAAACAAGGUCUUAUCUUACAUUGCUAUUCAGAACCCCAAUCCAUAUUCCAAGGGGCUGUUUGCCAGGUCCACCUGGAUCAGCUCAACCAAUAAAAUAAGGUCUUGUUUAGUUCACUCUAAAAACCAAAAAGUUCUCAAGAUUCCCCGUCACAUCGAAUCUUGUGGCACAUGCAUGAAAAAUUAAAUAUAGACGAAAACAAAAACUAAUUACACAGUUUAGCUGUAAAUCACGAGACAAAUCUUUUGAUCCUAGUUAGUCCAUAAUUGGAUAAUAUUUGUCACAAACAAACGAAAGUACUACAGUACCGAAAACUUUUCACUUUUCGAAACUAAACAAGGCCUAAUAAUAAUUUUUUUUCAUAUAAACUUGGAUUAAGACAAAUUUUAUUUUAAAAUUGUAGCAUUUGACAUGAUCUACAUCUUUGUAGUUAGCGAGUAGACGCUAGACCAACCGGCUAGCUAGACUGCGUCACAUCCUUGCAACCUACUCCCUCCGGCCAGCUUUCUUAGGGCCUGUUUAGAUUGGGAAUGAAAAUUUUUUGGGUGUCACAUCGGAUGUGUCGGAAGGAUGUCGGGAGGGGUUUUUAGAAACUAAUAAAAAAACAAAUUACAUAGCUCGUCAGAAAACUGCAAGACAAAUUUAUUAAGCAUAAUUAAUCUGUCAUUAGCAUAUGUGGGUUACUGUAGCACUUAAGGCUAAUCAUGGAGUAACUAGGCUUAAAAGAUUCGUCUCGCGAUUCUUAACUAAACUGUGUAAUUAGUUUAUUUUUUUAUCUACAUUUAAUGUUCUAUGCAUGUGUCCAAAGAUUCGAUGAGAUGGAUGAAAAAAUUUUGGAUAGGGAACUAUUUCGUCAUUUUUCAGUUAGAGCAGGUACAAUAAUGGGCUUAUAGCCAAGCUAAUGCUGAUGUGGAGGAGAGAAGAGAGGAGAGAGAUGAUAGCUUGGCUCUUAGUUAAGCACCAAGCUGGGCACGGAUGCAUAGGUAGUAAUGGGCCCAAAAAGCAAAUGUUGUGAGAAGAAAGAAAAAAGAGAAUGUGUUUUAGAGACAAGUAGGAGACAACUUAUUAUAUAACUUGGCUCUAAUUAUUUGGCUUAUAGCCAAGCACUUGGCUCUAUUAGGCCAGUCUCAAUGCAUGUUUCAUGAGAGUGUCAUGCACAUUAAAUAUGGCGCCACAUAAGCAAAAUUGCUGACUUGGCAGAGUCAUUAAAUGAAGGAGUUUCAUCAGAUGAGAGAGGAGUUUCAUCCCCAUGAAACUCUUGUGGCUCGGUUACCUAGUUUAUAGUUUUAGUAGCUGUGUCAUGAAACUAUACAUUGGGACUAGCCUUAUUGACCUUGCUCUUAGGCAGCUAUCUUGGGCGCCGGUAGCAGGAACGAGGCAACGAUGCUUUGGAAAUCCUACUGCAUUCAAUAUGGGUGCCGUUGGGCGUGCAUGCUGGCCGAGAAUCGAAGAGUUUUCAUGCAUGUAUAGGUCCUUUAAGUAUAAAUUUGCGGCACCAGUGCUUAUCACUUCGUAUUCCCCUGCAUGGCUUCAUGCAUGAAUUAAAUGAAAGAGUAUCCGACUCUAUAGCAGCCGUAUUGAGCCAACAUCAUUUAAUCUCCUCCUUGGUAUGUGAGAUUUGCUUGUGUACACCUAAGAAAGCUGUCCGGAGGGAGUAGGUUCAAGGGCCAUAGGGUGUGUUUCGCCGGGCGGACGCGAAAAAAAUCUCCUUGCUCCAUUCAAUGCAUAGGUUUAAAGCUAGUUCAAACUUAAGGCCUGUUUAGAUUGAGAACGAAAAUUUUUUAGAUGUCACAUUGGAUGUGUCGGAAGGAUGUCGGGAGGGGUUUUUAGAAACUAAUAAAAAACAAAUUACAUAGCUCGUCAGGAAACUGCAAGACAAAUUUAUUAAGCAUAAUUAAUCUGUAAUUAGCAUAUGUGGGUUACUGUAGCACUUAAGGCUAAUCAUGGAGUAACUAGGUUUAAAAGAUUCGUCUCGCGAUUCUUAACUAAACUGUAUAAUUACUUUAUUUUUUUAUCUACAUUUAAUGUUCCAUGCAUGUGUCCAAAGAUUCGAUGAGAUGGAUGAAAAAAUUUUGGGUAGGGAAAGUUCUGAAAAAAUUUCGGAUUUCGCUACUGUAGCAUUUUCGUUUUUAUUUGACAAAUAUUGUCCAAUCAUGAACUAACUAGGAUCAAAAGAUUCGUCUCGUGAUUUACAGACAAACUGUGUAAUUAGUUUUUGUUUUCGUCUAUAUUUAAUGCUUCGUGCAUGUGCUGCAAGAUUGGAUGUGACGGAGAAUCUUGAAAACUUUUUGGAUUUCGGGGUGAACUAAACAAGACCUAUAGGAGCAAUGGUGCCACUAUAUAUGAGUGGUGCUCGGUAUCCGAGGAUUUUUUUAUCUCUGUGAUGUCUUUUUCUCCAACACAAUGUCCGGUAUACUCGUGCUCCUGUGGAUUGAUUUUUUUUACAUCUUUGUAGUUAAAUGGUGUUUGAAAUGAAAUUGUUUAGGGUCGUAAAAUAUUAUUGUAAAUUUAUAAAUUUAAAAUUAUUAAGCAAUCCCAGACAUCGACAUGGUCUAAAAGAGAGUUACAGUUCUUAAUAGAAUCUAUAAUUUACAUCUUAAUCAAUUGCAGACGCAAAUAAUAUUGUAUAAGUUUAGAGAUUUAAAAUUUAAUUUAAAAUUAUUAAAUAAUCUCAGACAUCGUCUAAAAGAGAGUUACGGUUCUUGAUAGAAAUCUACAAUUUCGUAAUAACACAAUUGUGGACCGGUCUCACGGUACGGUGCGUUCCAUUCGCACGAUAAUGUUGGACACAGUAAACAAUUAACUCCACCAUCGAUCCUAGUAGUAGCCAGGCUAGUUCUAAAAAAUUUUACAAAAAAUUUCAGCAAAUCUUACGGUGUGUAUAUAAAGUAUUAAUAACUAAUUAUAUAGUUUAUUUUUAAUUUAUAAGACGAAUUUUUUGAGCCUAGUUAGUUUAUAAUUGGACAAUAUUUAUCAAAUACAAACGAAAAUGCUACGGUCUAUUUUGUAAAAAAAAUUAGAACUAAAUAAGGCCCAGUAAAAUACUCCACGCAACGCAACGCGCAGGGUGGGGUAGGUGAAUCUUUUUUUUGACAAUUGUGGGGUAGGUGAAUCGAUCGGUGAAACGCAACAAAAGGCCGAUCCAGGCCCCGCAGGAUCUCCCUCCAUCUGCCGUCCGUCUCUCGCGGUGCUCCUGCAUGCGGUCUAAUUUGGAUGGGGCCGCACCUGCAGCGAGCCAACUGGCAUGCAUGCAGCACGAGUGCUUUGCUUACGGCAUAUUUGGAUGAGUUUCAUAUUUUUAAAAUACUAGGUAGCGUGCCCGUGCGUUGCUACGGGAUAGCUAACAUUUUUUAUUAAAAAUACACGUAUUGCACAAUAAGAUGAUAAUAUUAUAAUAAAAUUUAAAUAGCAGCUAUAAAGUUAUAUUUAACUUAAAGAAACAAAGUUUCUUAAAUCAAACAUAGUCACGGAGAGCACGACGCUACAGCCUCACAAAUUCUACUUUAUAGACCUUUCUUUGAUACGACCAAGAUAAUAUUUAAUAUCGACAAGAAGAAAUCUUCGAUAUCCAUUUCUUUCAUGCGCUAGUAAAUCCACAAAUAAGUUCCGCCGCAUCUCCAUACCAUCAUGUCACACAUUUGAGUAUAUAUAUAUAUAAAUUUAGUGUGUGUCGCAUGGAUAAUACUACAUUUUUAUGAAAAAACUUUUAUAAAAACUGAGAUAAAGUAUUAUACUCACGGUAUAAAUAUGUGUGGCUUGUGGUCUAUUCCAUGUAGACAUGUAGACAUAUACUGUAGGAUGAGAAAUCCACUUAAGUACCUGUAUCAAGAUUCACGAUCAGCAAUAUAUAGAAAUAGUUAAAUCAUAGGUAUUUGUUAUUGUAAGCGACAAUGAUUUUGAGUUAUUUACCCAUCUAUGUCCUCUGCAAUGUUUUCUGUCCGUUUAAAUUUCCAUUUGAAAACAUCCUCAUAGAUUAAACAUGGAAAGAUAAGCUAGAAAUCAAGAGCUACGAAAAUAUAAGCAUAGCAAGUUUGUGUCUCACAAUACAUAUUUUACAAUAUAUUCUACAAUUAAGAAUCUCAUCUCUCAAUAAUGUGAUCACGAAAAUGUGCUUUGCGACCAAGCUAGAAAGACCAAAGAUUUAUGCAUCGUUCCCCACAAGACAAAAACCUUUAUCUUGAAAUUUAAAAAAUCUAUUCAUGUUGGAAAUUAAAGUUAUUUUUUCACCAUACAGAAUUAUUUUACCCCUAUUUAUACGAUUUAAGUAUACAUAAACAAAAUGUCUAUUUUUAUUUAAACUCUAUGUUUGACCAGAAAACAUAUUUCUGAUUUUGUAAUUUUUUUUCCUUAAUAUCCACUUGCCCUAUCUUUCUCACUACUCUCUCUCUCGAUGUCUCCAAAAGAAAACGCACGCACGGGAGCCCAACAGUCUUCUCUUCUCACUACUCUCUCUCUCUGCAAAAGUCACAACGCAGGCUGUUCUUCUUCCUCCUCGGCGGGUGCUCAACGCCCCAGCCCCCAGGGACCCGACGGAGCUGCCUCGACGAGCUCUCCAACGCGGAUCUGCCGACCCGACAUCCCUCCGCCGACCCUCGGCCUGUCCGCUCUCAAGAACUCCGGCGCCGCGGACGGACGCGGCUCCAGCGAGCUCUACUCGGGCGCGACCGAACGGUGGAAGUUCCUCUUCAUCUUCUUGCCGCUGCCGCAGCCGCGAUGCCGACGGUGAGCAUCGGCCGGGACCGUCUCUUCGCCGAUCUAGGUCGAACCUACAGUAAGUUUGACUUCCUCAGUUCAUCCCCCAAAUCCCAGCUUCCCCCAAAUCCCAGCUCUCCCCCAUCUGCCACAGACAUACCCAGCCCGGAGCUAUUGUUCUUCCUCCUCAGGGUCACCUUCGCGUGCUGAGUUGGGGUGGGUGCGGUGCUCGAAUCGUGUGCAGGCGGGAGGUGUGGGGUUCGAGGGCGACCGAUUGCCCGUUUUGCUUGUCCGGUUAGAUGGCUCCAGAUUAUUUUUGUUUGGUGUUAGUGUUUGGGUUAUGAUUGCUAGUGAAUUUGGUGAAUGAUGUCUUUCGGAUGUACUUGUGGUGGACAGUAGGGUUUGCGUAUUGCAAAAUGUUGAUAUGCUUGCUUCUACCUUUAAUUCUUUUUCUCAUGUGCAAUUGGUUGCACACUUGAUAUGGUAUAUACGCCUCCUGAUUCUGUCGGGAUGCCCAUUUCGACAUGUGAAUGAAUCGAAUCCUAUAAUUGUGUCUGCUAAAUUGAAAUGAAUGAAUCCUACAAUUGUGACUGCUAAAUUGAAACGAAUGCUCAAGCAUUCUGGGUUCAGCAAAGUCACUGAAUGAUUACAGUUUACAAGUCACAUUCAUGUCUAGAGGAGUUGUAGGAGUGUUAGAAGAGAAUUAAUACGUUUGAUCACUGAAUUUUAGUUUGCAUCCAAUCACUUUUGUCAUGCCUUAGUUGACUCUUCCGUAGCAUGAUUGUCCUGGACCUACAUCUGGUAUCCUGCUAUGGGGAAGGAAUAUGUCCUGGUUUAUUUGUUCAUUUACUCAACAAUUGCUACAAGAAGUUUCAGAAUUGUUAAAUGAUUAUAUGCCUAAAUGUGUACAGAUUGAUGAGCUCUUGGAUGACUAUAUUCCAAUCCUGAUUCAGUGAAUCAGUGAUGAUUGCCACUUUAUGUUUAUUAUAGGCUACCGUUCUUGGCAGCACUGUGAUUUUUUUGGUUCCAUCUUUGCUGUAUUCUUUAAUGCUAAGUCACGUGGCAGCCAUUCCAGUUUUUCCUUGGCCUAUGCUGUCACUGCAGAAAUCGUUGCUCACUACUUUGAUCAUACUCAAUGAAACUAAGCAUUGAAAGUCUGGUUAAAAAAAUAUGAUAGUGUUAAAUAUAGUUAUGAAAAGGUCUGGAACAACUCUUAAUUGCUGGAAAUUCUUUUGUUUCCUUGUUUAAGGUGUACUCGCAAACAGGUCAUGUAAAUAACUGCAGAUGAGGCAAAAGUCUGAACUGUUCUAAAUGUGUUGUCAUGAAUCACUUUCAGGUUCUCUUUCGUGAUCACAGUUUAGUAAUUUAAUGUCUUGUUUAUUUUUGUUUCAUCAUUUGAAGAUCUUGGGAGUUGAGAAGACUGCUUCACAACAAGAAAUAAAGAAGGCACAAAUUGGCGUUGCGCCUCCUCCCAGAUAAGAAUCCUGGGGAUGAGGUAGGAUCUCAACCUAAAGCAUUAAUGUUUUUCUACAUUCAUUUAGUGCAAUGUAUCUCAAAUGUUAUGUGCUGCCAGGAAGCCAAUGAGAAGUUUCAGCAGCUGCAGAAGGUUAUAUCCAUUCUUGGUGAUGCAGAGAAAAGAGCUUUAUAUGAUGAGAUUGGCAUCACUGAUGAUGACGUGCGCACCUUAUUUAUAGCACUCCAGUUCUACCUUUCAGAUUCAAGCAAUAUUUUUCUGAAUCCUUCUUUUUCAUCUUAGGCACUGGUGGGAGCAGCUGCAGACAAUCUUCAGGAGUACUUCAGAACAAUGUACAAGAAGGUAUGUUUGCUUCUCUGUCAAUUGCAGGCUAAUGUUGUCUAUUAAUUUACAAUGAUAUUUUUUUAUAUUGGAGUAUGGUAGCAAAAUAAAACAGUGGAUUAAGGGAUAGUAGUUGCUACAAUGAUAUUUCCUAACAAAGUAAGAUUUCCCUUUUUAACUGUGUCAAGAUUUAUGGAUCCUUUGGUGAUGUUACUCCCCUUUUUGGCUGUGGAACACAGUUUGGAGGUGUUGUGGACUUGUGGUUGGUUCGUGUUUCAUCUACUGCCCAAUUUUUGCGGCAUAUGCCAGCAGAGGCUUCAUGUGUUCUUUGAUCUUCUUCUUCCAGUUUGCCAUUCGUUGUAUAGAUCAGAAUUGGGUCCCAUUGCAGUGGAAAUAGAGCUGGCUCUGCAUACUAAAUUGUCACGUGCUUAGUGUGGGGGGAGGGUUCAGCUAGGGCUGAGACGUAACCGUGUGGGCGAGAUACAUAAGAGGCGUCUGCUAGGUGCGGCCACUGGGAGAAGGGGGCUUGGGGACAUGAGAAGGCUGAGGGGUAUUACCCAAACUCAGCUUAACCUUUGAUUAUUCUCUCUGUAUUUGUAGGGGCAACAAAAUUGACUCCUUGAUUCUUUAUAUAUAGGAUCCAUUCUAAUUACAACUCAAUCUGUCAAACCUAAACUUUACGACGCUGGGCCUGAGUGGUUCCACCCUUUUAUUUCAACCAGUAACCUUGGAUUUUUUUCCCCUUUUUGCGGGAAUAUAUUUUAGUGGCCAUGACAUACUUUAAGGUUUACUUGUGAUGAUCUUAUUAACGGCCAGGCAUGAAAUGAUUAUUUCUUUAUGUUGACGUUAAUUACUUCCUGGCAAAUCUUGCAAAUGAGAGGUCAAAUAUAUGAUAAGCUUUUCUGAUAUGCUUGGUGAUCUCUAGGUUUUCUAGGAAGUUUGCUUCUCUCAUGGUCUUUUUCUUUACCAUGCAGGCUUAUAGAGUAUUUUGCCUUUUGUAGGUCAGUUUGAGUGCAUUUGCAUUCUUGUUCUCUGAGUUGGUUCAGUACAACCAGACUCAAGUUGACAACAUUACUGAGCUGGAACGGAGGUAUCUCUAUUGUGUAUUUGUACCUGUCUGAUCUUGUUUGAUGAAUUUGUAUUUAGGUUGAUUGAUUAUUAUUCUAUCAUGUGUCUUCGUUUACCUUAUUGCACAUGCUACUAACUUAUACCCAGAUCAGAUAUACUCUUUCAGUAAAAUAAUUUAUAUAUUCAUCUGGGCUACACCUGUUUGUUUUAUUUCAUGCACAGGCUGGAGGAUGCUGGUUAUGCGGUUGGUGCAAGGGUGCUUGAACUAAGGGAGAAGGUUUGAUACCUGUUUGUUUGCUUGAUUAUAUAAUGAUCAUUAUAAAAUAAUGUAACAAUUUUGAUGCUCUAUUUUUGCAAAUAAUAUUUUAUAGUCAUAUUUCCAUUUGCAAAAAUAAUUUUGCUUGGAUAAUUCUUUCUAGCUCAGAAAUCUGAUAUAUAUCAUAUAUGAGUAUCGAAGCACUGUACAUUCAGCAUAAAACACAGUUAUGGAUUUUCUUGGACUAAUCAAAUAAUACCAAAUGUAGGGUCACUGCAUCAGCUCUUUAUUUUUUGUUGAAUUUUAUAGGAUAAAAACUUCAUUUUGUAUAAUAUGUGCAAUGAUUUCAAGUACCCUACAGUUUUUUUAAAAGAAAACAUGAUCUCCAUGUUAUCAUAUAUAUUCUUCUCGCUUUGAGGUAGUCAUGUCCGGAAGAUAAUUAGAUUGUUACUUGAGAUAGGAUUUCAUAGCAAACUUGAGAUAAAGCUUUAUGGUUACAAUGAUAAGCUUCCCAUCCUGCUGACCAAGAUCUUGUCUACUCUUCGUUCCUUUUCUCCAAAAAAAUAGAUAGGUUUGAGGUAAUAUUUUGUGGAGCAAAGAUUGUUCUUUUAAUAGGACUGUCACAAUGUACAAUAAAAAGGAUUUGGAAAACACUUGUGUCUACAAAACAGAGAACAUGUACUGAGCAUUAUUUUAGAAAUUUCUUGUGUAACUGACAAUUUAUUCUCUUGUCUACCAACCAUUUUCUUGGUUACUCAAGCUGUGUAAAGAGCCGUUUUAAAAUUUUUAUUUUCAAUAGCUGCACCCCCAUCUAAAAUUUUACAAUUAAUAUUAGUUACUUUGAACUGUGUAAAGAGCUGUUUUAAAAUUUUUAUUUUGAAUAGCUGCACCCCCAUUCUAAAAUUUUACAAUUAAUAUUAGUUACUUUGAAACAAAAUGAUGUGUAUAAAUACACAGUUUUCAAAAUACACAGUUUUGUAUGUGCUUCAAGAACGUGUAACUCCAAUUGACAUGAUUUCAGUUGUCUAACUCACCUUGUUUUGUGGUUGUGAACUGGCCAGGAAACACAAAGGCGAGGGCGACUCCAGGACCUGUCAAAACGCAGGAUUGACGGCUUCAAGGACGGUCGCAGGGCUGAGGUGGGCAACACAGGUCGGGCUCGGGCGUCGGGCGACGGCGACCUAGCAACGCAGGUCGUGCGAGGGCGUCGGGCUGCAACGUCGGGGGCGAGGGCGAGGGCGACUCUCCAGACCAGGCAACGCGGGCAUCGGAGGCGAGGGCGACGGUGUUGGGGGCGAGGGCGAGGGCGACUCUCCAGACUUGGCAACGCAGGUCGGGCGUCGAGGGCGAGGGCGAGGGCGAGGAUGAGGGUGACGACGGGCGAUGGUGUCGGGGGCGAGGGCGUCUCUCCAGACCUAGCAACGCAGGUCCGUCGUCGGGCGUCGGGGGCGAGGGCGAGGGCGGCGAGGACCCAGGACGAUCGACGGAGAGGUGCGACGUUGAGCGAGGGCGAGUGCGAGGGCGUCGGGCGAGGAUUGGUACCGUGCGCGAUUCUUUCCUUAGCGUGCUAUUGUUUCCUUUACCGGACUGAGAUUUUAUAUCAGGAAUCCUUUCUUUUUCUUUAUUUCAUUUCGCACCCUUCCACCUCUCUGUUAUAUAUUAUUCUGAAUUGUAAAUUUACAUCAGGAAUCCUAUCUUGUUUUUUUAUUCAAUUUUGACCCUUCCACCUCCUACGCACGGGUUUGAAUCCCACGUCGGGGCGGGGCGAGCGACCCCAAAAAAAGUCGCACCAUAUGGUGGUCUUACUUUUGUUCUUUUUAGUUGUAUAGGAGAUAGUUUUUAACUCCAGUUUCUAAGAACUGAGGUGUACAGCAUUUGCUGAAGGUGAAAGCAGUCUUACGAGCUGAAGAUGAGUGACCCUGCGGCCGAGAGCCCGAGGGGCGGCGACCCUCCGCCGCUCCCCCCUCCCACCGCCUCCACCUCUGUCGCUACCGCUCUCGCCGCCUCUGCCCUCGCCUCAGCCUGCACCCCCGCUAGCCCUCGAGCCCCCACAGCCCUCCUCCUCCGCCCGAGCACCGCCGGAGCAGUUCGACUAGCGACCCUUUGACGCCGACAACAAGUCUUCCCGCUGUGGCCUCGUCGUUGUUCCUCCCAACCAAUCCAGGUUCGACCUCCAGAACUUCAUCCUUCAGAACCUCCACUCUUUCGUCCCUCCUAACCUCCUCGCUCCUUCUCCGGCUCCGGCUCCCCUUUGGGUCACCCCUCCCUCUCGGGACCCUCGUUUUAACUUGUUCUUCAUCAAGAACACGCUGUGUUUCUUGCUUGCUCCUUGUCCAAGUCGCCUGGCCGUCGUUUUGGUCCAAGACUACGUUUUUAAGGUAACCGUCUCCAGCCAGAACAUGGCCAAUGUUCUGGCUGUUGUCGGCGCGAUUCGUAUCGGCGAGGUUGAGCUGCACCUCCACCCGUCCAUGGCGUCUGCCCUUCGCUUCGCUAGCCGCCUACCUCCCCCCCUCACCCCCUAGCUCCCACCCACCGCCUGGGCAUGGAGUUAUUGCGCGGCGUCAGGGUAGCUCCCUUGUCAACUCGCGGGGUUCCGCGCCCUCGAGUGAUGAGAAGAUCUCGUUUGGGUCAGUCCCACAAGAUCUUCUUCUUGCUGACCCCUCCAUCCCUUUCCCUGCUACGAACCCUGUGCCGGGUGUUGCUGGCCCGACAACACGUCCUGUCGCCUUUAACCCGACAGCUCCCCCUAGGACGCCUCGCUUGAAUGCCCAACGACCGCGCAGCUACCCGGAGGCCGCGCUCUCUCCCCUGCCCCCAAAUGACCUUCUUCCAAAACCUUAAAACCUCUAAACCCAAACUUCCGCUGCUUUCGGUGCCUCGCCCCUGACCACCUAGUGAACGAGUCCCGCGACCCUGUCAAGUGUCGCCGCUGCCACGCUUCAGGCCACAGAGCUCCCCAGUGCAAAAUGGCUCCGCUUCGUCGCCUGCUCCGUGCUGCCACCAACCGCCUUCGCACCCCAGCGGCCGCUCGGGCUGCUGCGCUGCGUCGGACGUCUGACGGAGACGGUUCGCCUGCUUUGCCGCCACCUGCUCUUUGCGGCUCCCUGAAAGGUCCUAAUAUGGCUAGAGGGGGGGUGAAUAGCCUAUUUAAAAAUUCUACAAACUCACUAGAGCAAGAGGUUAGUAAAUAAAAAAGCGAAGCUUUUUGCUCUAGCUCUACGGGGUGUUUGCAAGCCACCUAUCCAACAAUUCUAGUUGAUAUAAAUACUAGACACACAAGAGCUAAGUCACUACUUACACUAGUAAGUAAGCUACUCUAGUUUGCGGGAAUGUAAAAGAGAUGGUUUGAACUUUAUACCGCCGCGUAGAGGGGAUGAACCAAUCAAUAAUACGAAGUCCAAUCACCGGGAGAAAUCCAAUGAACAAUCACAAUGGAGACACACAAUUUUUCUCCCGAGGUUCACGUGCUUGCCGGCACGCUACGUCCCCGUUGUGUCGACCAACACUUGGUGGUUCGGUGGCUAAGAGGUGUAGCACGAACAUCGUCCUCACUAGGACACCACAAGAACCUACCCACAAGUGAGGUAACUCAAUGACACGAGCAAUCCACUAGAGUUACCUUUCGGCUCUCUGCCGGGGAAGGUACAAGACCCCUCACAAUCACCGGGAGAUGGCCACGAACAAUCACCAACUCGUGCCAAUCCUCCUCCGCUGCUCCAAGCCGUCUAGGUGGCGGCAACCACCAAGAGUAACAAGAAAACCACAGCUAGAACGAUCCCCAAGUGCCACUAGAUGCAAUCACUCAAGCAAAUGCACUUGGAAUCACUCCCAAUCUCACAAUGAUGAAUAAUCUAUGAAGGUGAUGAGUGGGAGGUGUUUGCUUAGGCUCACAAGGAUGUCAAGUAUGUUAGAAUGCCAGGAGAGUGAGCCCCAAGCCGGCCAAACACGUAUUUAUAGCCCCUCAAACAAAUAGAGCCGUUGGCUCUUUCAUUGGGCGAAAUACGGGGUCACCGGACGCUCUUAAAGGGGCACCGGACGCUCAACACCAGCGUCCGGUGCUCCAACGUCAGCCGCGUGUCAGAGUCUAACGGUAACCUGCAGAGCACCGGACGCUGAGCAGGUUGGCACCGGACGCGUCCGGUGCACACCGGACUCAUGCGCACAGAGCUCCGCAAACUCGCAGGGUCACCGGACGCAAGCCACCGGACUCAUGCGCAGAGAGGUUUGCAAAACCUCGUCACACCGAACGCUCCAAGCUGCGUCCGGUGCCUAUCGUCCGGUGCCUAACCCUAACCGAGUCAGGCAGCCUGCACACCGGACGCUCAGACUCAGCGUCCGGUACCUCUGAGCCAGCGUCCGGUGAGUGUUCCUCAGCGAGAAACACUCCCGCGACUUCUCCAAAAUUUCCCACCGGCGCAAUAGAAUAUAUGCACUUCAUUUUCUCGAAAAGCGCCAAAUCCCGCCGAGCGAGCUCGGCGGGAGGGAGAGAGGAACCCAUCCUCUCUCUACCUUCCAAACUCCACCUCCUUCUCAAAGUGUGCCAACACCACAAGUGUAAACCAACAAGUGCACGAGUGUUAGCAUUUUCACAAUCAUUUUCUUCAAAGGAGUUAAGUUAGCUCACUAGGUUCUAAAUGCAUGCACAUGAACAAUGACACUUAGUGGCACUUGAUAACCGCUUAGCCAAAGAAUUCCCCUCUUUAUAGUACGGCUAUCUAUCCUAAAUGUGAUCACACCCUCUGUGGUGUCUUGAUCACCAAAACCAAAACCCUAAGCAAUACCUUUACCUUGAUCUCCAAAGGGUUUUGUUUUUCUCUUUCUUCUUUUUCAAGUUGAGCACUUGAUCUUCUUGUGGUCAUCACCAUCAUCACCAUGAUCAUCUCUUGCUCCAUCACUUGGCAUGUACCAACCUCAUUAAGUCUACACACACUUAGCAUAGAGGUUAGUACUAGGGUUUCAUCAUUUAUCCAAAACCAAACUAGGGCUUUCACUCCCCUGCGGCCCAUCUUGGGUCCCCGGACUUUUCCUUCCCCGCUUCGGCCGCUUUCGACGCGGCAAACAUGGUGGCCUCCAGCUCCACCGCCACGGUGCCCGCCGCGCCUCAGGGAUCCCAGUUCCUGCUGCUUCUCGCCUUCGAGCCUCCCCCACUCCAGCCUCUAAGUGUGGAUAAGUUCGUCACCCCGUAUUCGGUGGGGGGACCUUGCACCCCUGCGGACCCCCGGGGACUCAUCUUCGUCGGCGCGGACACGAACGUCUCCAGCUCGCCGCGCGUUCUGCUCCGCGAGCCGACGGAGCGGUCCAACCACAUCUUCGCGGGCAUGGACGCCUCUGACUCCUCCGGCGAGGAGUUCGGCAGUGGUGACCUCGACUCGAGCUCGGAUGAUGCCUGGCAGCAGACUCGUCUGCGUCAUGCAGAGGCUUGGGUCUCUCCGGGGCGUGCUGAGCUCUCGGAGAGGCUCCUUUUCGCCUUCGUCGAGCCCCCGGUGCCUAUGAUGGAGGUGAGCUUCUUCCUCCGGAGCGCCCUACGGGCGCUUGCUCCCCGCCUCCCGGUCGACUUGCUGCCUUCCUCCCGUGGUGCCAUGCUUCUACGCUGCGAGUCAGCUGUGGACCGUGACCUCCUCCACCGCCUCGGCCCUGUCUCCCACGAGGGGCAUAUGCUGUACCUCCAAAAGCCAGAGGAAACCUCCAACAGGUUCUUUCGUGUGCCUGCCUGGCUCGCCUUUGUUGCUGUGACCGACUUCCCCAACGAGCAUUGGUAUGCGGAGAAGAUCUUCCAGUGCUUCAGGAGCUUCAGCGAGGUGGUUGAGAUCGACCCGGAUUACCUUACCGGGGAGAACUUUGGCUCCCUGCGCCUGCUCCUAGAGGUGAACGACCGGCUAGAGAUCCCCUUGUACCUCAGGAUCUCUAGCAAACUCGGAGUGGGUCGGGCUGGUGCUGUGGCCAAGAUCCUCCCCAUCCGAGUUUGGCCUCGCCAGUCCCAGCUGGACAGCGAGGGGAACCUCGCGCGGUUCUUUGGCCCCCCGGCGCCCCCCAGCGCGGGCCGUUGCUGGGACCAUCCAUGGGACCAAUGUCAAGCACGCAGCAGCUUCACCCAACGUCAAACUACUUCUACUUGACCUCCACCCCACCGGUGGAGCUCUGCGGGCCCCCUCUGCAGCCACGCUCGUCUUCGACCCCUUGCGGCCUUGCUCGGCCCCUGACAUUGGGUCGGCCGCGGCGUGCACGGCGGUGCCCGCGGCCCAGGUCCUCGGGUUGGCUAUUGCUCUGGCUCGCCUCCUGUCCGCGCCGAGACAGCUAGUGGCGACUCCAGCCUCGUCGAGGCUCCUGGCGGCGACCCUGUCAAGGCAGGGUCCGGCCGCCGCCUCGAGCCCCAAGCUCAUCACCUACCAUCGCCGUUGUCUGCGCCUAAAGACGAGUGCAGCGCUCCCAGCUCCUCCUCAGCCUGCGCCCAAGCCGUCGAGGCGCGCCAGCUCGCGCCUUGCUGCUAAGGCGAAUCAGCACUUCGUGGACAUGACAGCCCAGGCGAUGCAGCACAAGGCACUGCUCAACACUCUGUCUGGCUGCUCCAAAACCUUGAAGAAACAGGUCAACAAACGCAACAUCCUCUCCCGAAGCCUUCUACCCAUCAGUGGACCUGACCUGCGCAAGCUCGUUUCCGCGGCAAGGCUGAGCUGCAAGAACAACGACACGGUCGACGCUGCUGUGGUGGCUGAUCCGGCCUAAUGUUACUCAACUCUACUCACCACGUCCGCGGCGGUUGGCGCCACCUCCCCAAUGACCGCUGGAUCUGCGCUUUGGGUGGCGUCUGUAUCAGUCCCAUUCUCAGUUUCUUCUCUUCUUUUUCCCUUCUUCUUCCUUUCUGGGCCUCUAGGCCUGUUUUAUGUAACGGGUGCUGUAACGUUCCUAGAUGAGCAGUUCAAACUUUCGCACCUUUAACGUUUUGUCUUGGAACGUGUGUGGUCUUGGUGACUUGGACAAAUGCAACUUGGUCCGCAGUGUUUUCCUUGAUGUUAAACCCUCUGUUAUUUGCUUACAAGAGUCUAAGCUUGAUGAUAUUAACUUGUUCAAAGCGGCUUCCUUCCUCCCACAUAAUUUCGCCCGCUCUUUUGUUUUUGCUCCUGCUGAUGGAUCGCGGGGUGGCAUCGUCACUGCCUGGGACCCCUCCCUGUUCUCCCUAACCUCGCAUCUACUUAAGCCUCACACUCUUACUACUUCUCUUUCCUGCAAUGCUACCAAUCAUGACUUCACAAUAACAAACACUUAUGGCCCCUCAGAUCACUCCCUCUCCAACAACUAUCUAAAUUGCCUACGAGAACUCAAAUCUAGUGUUUCUGGACCUUGGAUUCUUUUGGGAGACUUCAAUCUGGUCUGAGGCCCAGACGACAAAAGCAACAGGCAGUACAGCCACUCCCUGGCCGCUGCCUUCAACGAUGCCAUUCACGAUCUAGAGAUCUCUGAAAUUGACCUCUGUGAUCGCCGUUUCACUUGGUCCAACGGCCAGGCCAACCUAAUCCUUGCUCGCCUAGAUCGAGCCUUCUCUAACAACGACCUCUUUCUUGACUUCCCUUUGAUCACCCUUUCUUCAGUUCAUAAACCCACGUCUGACCACACCCCUCUUCUCCUCUCUCUUUCCUCCAACCUACCGAAAAACCAUUCCUUCAGACUGGAGAACCAUUGGCUCAAAGUUGAUUCUUUCUUAACCUCGGUCCUCCUAGAUUGGGAUCAGGCACCGACUUGUGCUGAUGCUGCUGGGCAGCUGGUCGCCUGCAUCAAAGCUUCGCGGGCGUCUGCAAAGGUUUGGUCUCGGUGUAAAAGGGCACCACCUCUUCUAACCAAAAACUGCAUAUUCUUGAUUCAGUUAUUUGAUUAUUUCAAAGAAAUGAGGUCCCUGUCAGUACAGGAAUUCCAGGUCCGGCAGCUCGCACAAAACACUUUGCAGCAAGCUAUCAAGGAAAAGGCAACGUAUUGGAAACAAAGGAGCAAGGAAAAACACAUCAGAGAAAGCGACGCCAACACAGCUUUCCACCAUGCCAGGGCUUCUCAAAGGUUACGCAGAAACCAUAUUCGCAUGGUCAGGGUCGGAGACCACGAGAUCGUUGGUCAUGCUGGGAAAGUUGAAGCACUCACUGCUUACUUCAAAGGAAUCUUCGGUGUGCCUGGGGAGUCCUCACCCCUAGAUGUUUCAACUCUUUUUGCCGGAAGUCCCUCUCCAUCCAAUGAACUGGUCAAGCCCUUUUCUGAAGAUGAAGCAAAGAGUGCUCUGCAAUUGAUGAACUCUAAUAGUGCGCCAGGACCAGAUGGGUUUGGCUCGGCCUUUUUCAGGACAGCCUAGGCGAGGGUGAAGUCUAUGCUCAUGAAUUUCUUCAACAACUUCUUUGAUGGCAAUGCUCAGCUGGAGAGGAUCAACCGUUCUCACAUGGUAUUGAUACCCAAGAAGCCAGGGGCGGUUGAUGUCGACUGCUUUCGCCCUAUCAGUAUGCAAAACAGCUGCCUCAAGAUCCUGACGAAAAUGUUGACCUCAAGGCUACAACUGCAAAUCGCAAGUCUAAUAGAUAUUCACCAAACCGGCUUCGUCCCUGGAAGAUCCAUUGCGGACACAUUUGUUUAUGCCCUCGAGCUCGUUCAAGUCUGCCACAAAAGGAAGAAGCCAGCUAUAAUCCUCAAGCUAGACUUCGCGAAGGCCUUUGACACGGUGAACUGGCAAGGUCUAAUUUCUGCAAUGCAAGCCAGAGGAUUCAACCUGUUGGGAAAAUGCUCUCCGCACUCUCCAGCAGUACGGUGGAUCGAGAACCUUCUCACUCGGUGCUGUGAGAUGUUUGAGCACUAACGGACAGUGGGCUCAACAGUAGGUGAAUACAGUGAAUGCUCUCUCUCUUUAUUAAUAACGGCAUCACCCCUUAUAUAGGGCUCAGAAACCGACCUAAUGACAUUUACAAAAAUGCCCCGUGACGGUGGGGGAAUAUCCCAGCAUAUUCUCCAAUUACAAUCUACCGACUCCAAGUCACUCGCGUAAUUUCGCAUUACAAAGACCACGCGUGCCCCCUGUCUAGGGCUUCAGCCGGUCGGAGGCUUGGAUCCUCCGCCCAGUCGCGGAUCCUUCGACACUUCAUGUGUCGGAGGUUCCUUAGCUCGGACGCGCCGGGGGUUCCUCGGCUCAGCUGUCCUGGAGGUUCCUUGGCUCGCCCGGUCGCCGAUCCUUCGACGCGUCUCCGUCGGAGGUUCUGAAAGGUCCAAAUGGCUAGAGGGGGGGGGGGUGAAUAGCCUAUUUAAAUUUUCUACAAACUUCAACUAGACAAGUUGAUUAGUAAAACAAAAGGCGAAGCUAUUCUAGCACUAGCACAACUAAGCUAUGCAAGCCACCUAAACAAGUCUAGUACAAGGCUAAACACUAAAGCACUACAACAAGAGAAGGCUAGUUACACUCCUAAACAAGAAGACUAAACUAAACAAGCUAAACAACUAGCAAGGUAUACAAGUAAUUAAAGGAGUGGAGAGUGAUUGUUAUACCAACGUUGUAGAGUAGAGAUAUAACCAACCAAUCACUCACAAUUACAAGAGAAUCCUCGGCAAGAGAUGACACAAGAUUUUUUACCGAGGUUCACUUGCUUCCCGGCAAGCUACUCCUCGUUGUGGCGAUACACCCACUUGAUGGAUCACGAGCUAAUUGGCAAUCCAAAGCCAAACCCUCAGCGGGUGCCGCACAUCCACUCACAAGAUGGGGAUCCUCCAAGCCACGAGCAAUCCACUAGAGUAGCCAAUUGCGAUCUCCCGCGGGGAAGGCUCAAGAACCCCUCACAAAUCACUUGGUGAGGCUCGAAACAAUCUCCAAUCACGAGCUCCACACCACCGCUGCUCCAAGCCGUCUAGGGCGUCGGGAAACACCUAAGAGUAACAAGAAAUCCGCAGCAAACUCAAGAAUCAAGUGCCACUAAAUGCAACUCUCAAAGCAAUGCACUUGAAUCUCACUCAAUCUCACCAGGAUGAGCAAUCAAGCAAGGAGAUGAGUGGAGGGAGUGUUCUCUAGCUCAAUGUAUGCCUCAAGUAUUCAAAAUGUGCAAGAGAGAACCUCCCAAAGCUGGCCACCAACUAUUUAUAAGCCACCUCAAAGAAAUAGCCGUUGGCUGUUUUUCACUGGGCUGAAAACGGGGGCACCGGACGCUACUAAGUGAGCACCGGACGCUCGACCCCCUACGUCCGGUGCACUGGAGUUGGCCACGUGUCCUCUUUGAAUCUCGCGCGUCAGUUUCUAACGGCUACCUGCAACACACCGGACGCUCUGCAAGUCCACACCGGACGGUCCGGUGCUCACCGGACUCGUGCGCAGAGAGGGUGUCAAACUCGCGACCUCACCGGACGCUGGGCACCGGACGGUCCGGUGCUCACCGGACUCGUGCGCAGAGAGGGUUGCAAAAACCCCUCACACCGGACGCUUACCACCGGACGCUCUCAGAGUGCGUCCGGUGCUUAACCCUAGUAGGGUCAAGCACACCGGACGCUGAGGCCAGCGUCCGGUGCCUCCGUACUCAGCGUCCGGUGAGUGUUUCUCACUAAGAAAACACUCCCGCGACUCCUCUAAAUUUCCCACCGGCGCAAUAGAAAAUAUAUACUUAUUUUUCUCAAAAGCGCCGAAUCUCGCCUCGCAAGCUCGGCGGGAGGAAGAGAGGAACCCACACCCCUCUCAACCCUAGGAACUUCACCUCCUUCAACCCUAAGGAGUUUUCUUCCGUCCGGCGGGAAAUUGAGUCCCUGAGAAAGGAAAGAGAUGAUUACAAGGCUGGGUCGGAGGUCUUGAAGAAGGAGAAAGAAGAUGACGAAGCUUCGGUGGCUGUCCUCCGCACGAAUGUCACUGAGGCGGGGAGAGCUAGGGAUUUGGCCCUACAGCGAGCCGAGAAGGCGGAGGACAUUGCUGACCGCCUUCGCAAGGAGCUUGAUGCUGAGCGGAUGUCUGCGGCUGAGCUGCAGACGCGCAUGCAGAAGGCGGAAGCGGAGGCUGCAGCUAUUGUUGGGCUCUAUGCCGACUCGCUGGCGCAGUUUGGGGGAAGCACCUCUGCUCCUCCGCCCAACGGCGACGCUGGGGCUGGCCUCGCAUGGCUGAAGUCUCAUAUCCGUAUGCUCCCUGACUUUGUCGGGGGUGCUGUUGAUUUUGGGGCUUUGGCCGCGGUUAGCUCCUUUGCUAAGCUGUUGCGUCGCGGAGGUUGCUCCCACGCGGAGGGAGUUGCCAAGGAGGAGUUCGCGUCUGCGGAGGAUGUUGGCGAGGGCACCUCGAGCCUGCGCAAAUCUGUCCGGAACUUCAUUAGUUCGUUCUGGAUUAGGUUUGGGCGGGCUGAGGCGAAGAAGAUGGCGGAAGCUCGUCGCGCUGAGGUAUUCUUUGUCUUGGUUUUUCUUUUUGUAUUCUGUUUUGCUGCUUUGCAAUGUUUCUUAAGCUUGUUGAUUUGCAGGAGAUUGCCAAGAGGGCGGCUAAGGUUGACAAGCCCGGUCCUUCGCGUCCCCCUAGCGAAGCGCGUCCUUCGACUCAGGCUGAGGCGGAGGUUCGUGACGCAAGUGUUAAGGCUCCAGAGGAAUCUGGUGCCAAGGAUUCGGCGCAGCCCGAGACUUCUGCCCCUCCUCCGCCUCAGGUGUGAGGCUUUUUAGUUUGUAGGUUUUUUCUUAGCUUUUUUGCGUCUGUAUGUGUGACGCUUUUUGUAAGUAAGGCCGAAGGUUCUGAUUAAUUUGUAAAGACUAUUGAAAAAUGUAAUAUAAAGAGUUGUUUUUGGAUAAGCCAUUUUUUACACUUUGAUCCUGCGCAGGUCUCUGGCGGAGGACCUGCGCAGGAUCUUAGCGAAACUCUGCUUUCAAUUUUCUAUAAAGGAAUUUAUGUUUCUGGCGAGUUGUGGGAGUACUGGCGGAUUGCCUUCCCCAAUAUGAGAGUGGUGGAUAUGUUUGAGUUUGUUGGAUACGACCUGGAUGACGAACGAUCUGAAUUCGUCCGGUCGCUUGCGCGCCGAGGUUCAUGGCCUCCGGCUUAGGUUGUUGUUUUUGUCUUGUUUUUCGCUUAUCGUGGACUAUGUGUUUAUUUGGGAGAGAGGAACCCACACCCCUCUCAACCCUAGGAACUUCACCUCCUUUGUAAAUGUGCUAACACCAACAAGUGUCCACCACCAAAGUUGCAAGUGUGUUAGAUUUUCACAAACAUUUUCACCAAAGGAGUUAAGUUAGCACUUUACUAGAACCUAAUGCAUAUGCUCAAGAUAUGAACCUAGUAGCACUUGAUUCGAGAGAUGUCCGUGAUUUCUCCUCUUGAUAGUCGGCUAUCUAUCCUAAACCCGGUCAAUCACUUCUCUACUCAUCUUAGACCGGCAAAAGUAAAACCCUAUGUUUAUACCUUUGCCUUGAUAACUUUGCUCCUCGUCUAUCACCAUGAUCUCCACUUCAUGCUUCAUCCCUUUAUGAUCGUGUGGCCACCUUUCCAUGCCACUAUGCACCUUCAUGACAUGUGUUGCUAUGCCUAACUCAAAUCACUUAAACACAAGACAUUAGCAACUUGGUGUCAUUAAUUACCAAAACCAAACUUGGGCUUUCAGGUUCCCUGACUUGACGCGUCGGAGGUCCCUCGCCUCCGCCGCGUCCUCAACCAUCCUCGGACUUGAGAGGGCCGGAGGUUACUCUCUUCCUUGCUUGUGGGCCUCCGCUGGUGCAGUCCCUGCACGCACUUAGCACGACAAGACGAGUCAUCAAUAUUAGUCUUUUUUCAGGGUCCUCCGCACGCAACUCCACGAAGGUUCCCUGGGUGGAGGAUAUCCUCCGACACUUCAGAGGUCGGAGGUUCCUUGGCUUGAAGGGCAUCCUUAGACGCUGCCAGGGGGAAGGGUGCGGCCAUCCCCCAACAGUUCCCCCCUUUUUGGGCUAAUGGCACUCCUGCGGUCCAUGUGCUCAAAAACAUGCCACGCUGCGGAGGCUACGAGCAUGGUUGCUGCCUUCCCCCUGGCGCGCAGGAUGUGCUUGUUAGCAUUGUUGGAAAAAUGUUUCUUUUCCUUAGUCAUAAUUUUCUUCGUUUGUUUGUUUUGCCAGGAUCCUCCGGUCAUUACUGUUCUGAUAUCCUGUUAUCCUUCGCGAUUUAUAUUGCGGAGGUUAUUAUAGUCGUUGGAGUUAGCCGUUGGUGCUGGGGAAUCGCAACGGUCAGGCCGAAUCCUCCGCUUUUAGCCGUUGGGAGCGGGGAAUCGCAACGGUCACGCGGUCGCAGGCCCCCCCUAUAAAAGGGAAUGCUGGGGAGCCUUGAGCUCUCACCCCUGCCUCUCAUUGCUUGCACACUUUCCUUCGCCACAUCUUCCUCUCUGAGCUGCUCGUGCGCCUUUUUGUUGUGUUUAGUUCCUAAGUGUUGUCGGAGGAUUUACGGUGGCUCAUCUUCCUCCGCCGCGUCCUUCUAGGUCAGAUUUUUCUGGUCCUUUGCGCAAUUUUCUUAGUGUGAGGUCUGGAGGUUGGCUGCGAAGGUUUGAGGAGUGGAUGCUUGAGGUGGCUGCAGCUCAAGACCUGGAGGAGACGCUGUCUGACGUUGAAGCUUCCGUUGGUGAUUUGAUUAGUGCGAUGGAAUUUGAGGAGAUGGCUUCGAUCACUUUUGAAUUUGGGGAGUCGACUGUGAGGGAGGAGGAUAUUGCCGAUAUGGUCGAGGCUAGGUUUUUCAAGGCGGGUCGAGCGAAGGCUCCACCUGCGGGUCAGACAGUACCUGCGUCUGAAGAGGGUUAUGCGGUGGUUUUCAGGGAUAUCUUCACCUGCGGACUUCGGAUGCCUCCGUAUCAUUUCCUUCGCGAAGUGAUGGAGAGUUUCAACGUGGAGCUGCAGCAUUUCAGCCCCAAUGGGAUACUGACCCUUAGCAAAUUUGCCUGGGCGUGUGAAUCAUACGGAGCUGCGCCUCACGUAGAUACUUUUUGCUCGUAUUUUGAACUCCAGCGCCAGCCUAAGAAGGUGAAGGAUGCCAAAGGAGUUGAACAUAUAGCGCAGUUUGGAAGCUGCGCGUUCAUGCCGCGCCGCACAAUGCCUGGGUCUAGGUGCGAGAUCUCCUACUGCCAGAAGGGCAAGUGGGAGAAGGAUUGGAUGAGGGCCUGGUUCUACGUGAAGACCUCCGCCGCGUCGAGGACUCUGGAGGACGGCAGUGUUGAUAAGGUGUAUCCUUAUGCGUCUGAGAUGAAGUCGCUUAGGCCUAUCCACAAGGUUGACCCUUCGAAUCCGGUUUCGGAGGAGCAGCUGGAGGCGCGACUGGCAUGCGACAAGGCCUUUGCUCUAGCCUGCCGAUACUCCGGAGGUCGGGAUUUAGUUGAGGAGAUGGUCGCAGCUGAUUACUGGCCCCUAGGCCGCAGGACUGACGAAUUCACCAUUGAAAUGGUGCAAGUGCCGGUCUUUGGCCCUCCGGAGGGAUUGCCGUUUCCCCGGUUUGGAGCAGGUUUGCCGGAGGAUGAGACUAAGGAGUCCUUCCUUGACCGCGUGGAGGUUUCUGCUCGGAGGAUUGUCGGGAAGAUCUCGGAGAAGGAGUAUCUCCAGCGGAGGUCUGCACUUGGUACGAUGCCUCGCUUCAACCGAGUGUUUGAGGAAUUGGGGAUUGAGUAUGAGGAUUAUGUUAUUCCUCCGGAUGUUUUGUUGGGAUUGGAGAAGAAGAAGGAUUCCUCCAAGGCCGUUGCUGCGGCGGAGGCCAAGAAGAGGAAGAGUGGUGGUGCUGUCAAGCAACUUGCGAAGAAGCGCAAGGCGGAGGUUGUGUUGGAGACUCCUGUGGAGUCUUCCUCCGCCCGCUCUUCUGCUGCCGAGUCUAACUCGGUGGCUUCUGUUCCUGCGGAGGCUGCUCCUGCUGGUGGAGUUCCUGAGGUUGAAGCCUCACGCGCGGUCUCUUCUGUACGCGCGCCUUUCGCGUCCCUUCUUGGGGAGGAGUCUUCCGACGCGGAGGCCCCUGAGGCGAGUCUUGCGCGGGAGGCAAAUCCUGCGGUGGCUGAGAGUCCUGCGCGGGAGGCUUUAGCUGGAGGAGGAUCUCCGCCGAAGGAUGGGCGGGAGGAAUCCAGUGAUGAUGCAGAGUCUGUCUCUGUUCGGAGGAUUAAGAGGGCGGAGGAUAUCUCGCGUCCGGCUGGAGAUGGUAUAAACUCGUUGUACAUGGGUAAAAUUUUUUUGUUGAUUCUUGUUUUUCUGUAUAUUAUUAUUUUUUGAUUGACUUGGUCUCAUGUUAUUUUUAUAUUUUUCAGAGGAUGUUUUUGCUGGGUUGGCUACCGCGGAGGAGUUGGCUAAAGGUGCCAGCGUUGCGCAGGAAGGACUUGCUGUUCCUCCGCGGCGCGAGCCUACGCCUUCUGCGUUGGCCAGCAGACCUUCCCCUGCUGAUGUUCUUGGUCCUGGUGAGUUUCUUCUUCUUUGUUCAACUCUUUGGUUUGUUUUUUGUUAUUUUAUUCUAAGGUUGGUUUUGGUUUUGCGCAGGUGCUUCUGAUCCUUCGAUCACAGGUUGGACAGGUGCCUUGCGCGAGGUUCAUUCUUUGGUCGGAGGUUCGUAGUCUGGCCUCCGCUAAUGGGUUUUUGGUUCUUACGAUUUUUCCUUACUUGUUUUCGAUUUACAGAUCGUUUCCGUCAGAAGCUUUGCAACAUGGACUUUGACACGCUACUCCGCGUGCAAUAUGAGCACCAUAGCCUUGUACGUUUGCGAUGUGUUAUAUUUUCCUUUGCCGUUUUUCGCUCGGAGGUUGGUUUUGACUUUUAUUUUUUGAGCAGGGUCAUCACAUGGCUGCCGCCUUGGAGGAGCGUUGCUCACGGGAGGUUAUUUGCCGGGACGAGGCUAUUGGUGCUCUGAAGAAGGAGAACGAGACCUUGGAGGUUGAGAAGGCUCGCCUGACGGAGGAGGUUAAGGAGUUUUCUUCCGUCCGGCGGGAAAUUGAGUCCCUGAGAAAGGAAAGAGAUGAUUACAAGGCUGGGUCGGAGGUCUUGAAGAAGGAGAAAGAAGAUGACGAAGCUUCGGCGGCUGUCCUCCGCAUGAAUGUCACUGAGGCGGGGAGAGCUAGGGAUUUGGCCCUACAGCGAGCCGAGAAGGCGGAGGACAUUGCUGACCGCCUUCGCAAGGAGCUUGAUGCUGAGCGGAUGUCUGCGGCUGAGCUGCAGACGCGCAUGCAGAAGGCGGAAGCGGAGGCUGCAGCUAUUGUUGGGCUCUAUGCCGACUCGCUGGCGCAGUUUGGGGGAAGCACCUCUGCUCCUCCGCCCAACGGCGACGCUGGGGCUGGCCUCGCAUGGCUGAAGUCUCAUAUCCGUAUGCUCCCUGACUUUGUCGGGGGUGCUGUUGAUUUUGGGGCUUUGGCCGCAGUUAGCUCCUUUGCUAAGCUGUUGCGUCGCGGAGGUUGCUCCCACGCGGAGGGAGUUGCCAAGGAGGAGUUCGCGUCUGCGGAGGAUGUUGGCGAGGGCACCUCGAGCCUGCGCAAAUCUGUCCGGAACUUCAUUAGUUCGUUCUGGAUUAGGUUUGGGCGGGCUGAGGCGAAGAAGAUGGCGGAAGCUCGUCGCGCUGAGGUAUUCUUUGUCUUGGUUUUUCUUUUUGUAUUCUGUUUUCCUGCUUUGCAAUGUUUCUUAAGCUUGUUGAUUUGCAGGAGAUUGCCAAGAGGGCGGCUAAGGUUGACAAGCCCGGUCCUUCGCGUCCCCCUAGCGAAGCGCAUCCUUCGACUCAGGCUGAGGCGGAGGUUCGUGACGCAAGUGUUAAGGCUCCAGAGGAAUCUGGUGCCAAGGAUUCGGCGCAGCCCGAGACUUCUGCCCCUCCUCCGCCUCAGGUGUGAGGCUUUUUAGUUUGUAGGUUUUUUCUUAGCUUUUUUGCGUCUGUAUGUGUGACGCUUUUUGUAAGUAAGGCCGAAGGUUCUGAUUAAUUUGUAAAGACUAUUGAAAAAUGUAAUAUAAAGAGUUGUUUUUGGAUAAGCCUUUUUUUACACUUUGAUCCUGCGCAGGUCUCUGGCGGAGGACCUGCGCAGGAUCUUAGCGAAACUCUGCUUUCAAUUUUCUAUAAAGGAAUUUAUGUUUCUGGCGAGUUGUGGGAGUACUGGCGGAUUGCCUUCCCCAAUAUGAGAGUGGUGGAUAUGUUUGAGUUUGUUGGAUACGACCUGGAUGACGAACGAUCUGAAUUCGUCCGGUCGCUUGCGCGCCGAGGUUCAUGGCCUCCGGCUUAGGUUGUUGUUUUUGUCUUGUUUUUCGCUUAUCGUGGACUAUGCGUUUAUUUGGGAGAGAGGAACCCACACCCCUCUCAACCCUAGGAACUUCACCUCCUUUGUAAAUGUGCUAACACCAACAAGUGUCCACCACCAAAGUUGCAAGUGUGUUAGAUUUUCAUAAACAUUUUCACCAAAGGAGUUAAGUUAGCACUUUACUAGAUCCUAAUGCAUAUGCUCAAGAUAUGAACCUAGUAGCACUUGAUUCGAGAGAUGACCGUGAUUUCUCCUCUUGAUAGUCGGCUAUCUAUCCUAAACCCGGUCAAUCACUUCUCUACUCAUCUUAGACCGGCAAAAGUAAAACCCUAUGUUUAUACCUUUGCCUUGAUAACUUUGCUCCUCGUCUAUCACCAUGAUCUCCACUUCAUGCUUCAUCCCUUUAUGAUCGUGUGGCCACCUUUCCAUGCCACUAUGCACCUUCAUGACAUGUGUUGCUAUGCCUAACUCAAAUCACUUAAACACAAGGCAUUAGCAACUUGGUGUCAUUAAUUACCAAAACCAAACUUGGGCUUUCAAUCUCCCCCUUUUUGGUAAUUGAUGACAACCAUCACAAAGAUAUGAAAUGAAAUCAGAAUGAGCUUGAAUUGCUUGUCCAAAGCAUUUUUAUCAAGAGACAAGGUUGGACAAACAUUUCAAUUUCGGUUUUGGUAGUACUAGCUCCCCCUACAUAUGUGCUUCCAUGAGUUUGGUUCAAGUUUGCACAUAUGCAUGAAUUGGAAUUUUGGGAGAUUUAUUACAACCAAAAUGAUGCUAAGGUAUAUAGAAUGGACCUUUGAAGCGUGAUACCAAUCGGAGUUGCCAAUAUACCAUCCUUAGCACCAAUGUAGCUAGACAUACAUCAAAAACUCAAGAUACCUCGUGAGAUCACAUUAUAUGUCUAGAUACCACAUAAAAAUAAAAUUCUAUGCUAGAAUUCAAAACAUCAUUCAAGUUCUAUUUCUAGCAAGCACCAAACAAACAAGAGUCGUGAAUCUAAACUUGCAAUGCAACACCUCAUUAUGUUAGUGCACAUUCAAAUGCAACAAAUGGUUCAUGAGCUUGCUCCCCCUAUUUGUUUUGUGUGCUCAAGUUUAAAGGUGUUUUCUCUUCCUAUCUUUGUUUCUCUUCCCCUUUUUGACUUUAUCUUUGUUUCUCUCCCCCUUUUUGACUUUAUCUUUGUUUCUCUCCCCCUUUGUCAUCAAUGACCACAAAGGUUCAAAUUUUAGUGAGAAUUAAGUCAAUCAAUGUGAGGGUCAAAUUAUGGUUUAAUCUAGAUCAAUUGCCUAAAACAUGUAAUUCGGUUUGAUCCAAGGACAAGCUUUUUCACACCUCAUAAAGUAUAAGGGUUAUCUUGACCAUGGUGAAUUACACAUCAUAAGCUCAUAUUCUAGAUUCAACACUAGGCUUGCAAGCUCACCAACAUGUCAUAUGCUACCACUAGAUCAAGCAAACAUAGAAGCAAUAGUGGUACCAUACAUACAUCAAAACCUUUUGAUGUUCAUGAAUGAGCCUAUUGUCAUGCAAAUAUGUCUAUAUGUUCUAAUCAUGUCCUUAGCAAAGUAUGAAUGCUAUGUCAACCAACUUUACCUUGCUUUGUUGGAGGAGAGGCAUGUCAUAUAGAAAUGUAGGGGUACACUCAUCUCAAGUUGGAGAAGUCAAGUAUGUUCAAUUCAUUCCUCAACUUGCAAAAUCUCUUCUCAUCAAGUGGCUUUGUGAAGAUGUCGGCUAGUUGAUCUUCGGUGCCAAUGCUUUCAAUGCUAAUAUCACCCUUUUGUUGAUGGUCUCUUAUGAAAUGGUGCCUUAUGUCAAUGUGCUUGGUUCUUGAAUGUUGAACCGGAUUUUGUGUCAUCUUGAUUGCACUCUCAUUGUCACAUAGCAAAGGCACAUUCUUGAAUUUGAUUCCAAAGUCAUUCAAGGUUGCUUUCAUCCAAAGCAAUUGUGCACAACAACUACCGGCACUAAUGUAUUCGGCCUCGGCGGUUGAUAGUGCAACACUAUUUUGUUUCUUUGAUGACCAUGAAACUAGAGACCUUCCUAGCAAUUGACAAGUGCCACUUGUGCUCAUUCUAUCAAUCUUGCAUCCACCAUAGUCGGAGUCCGAAUAUCCAAUCAAUUCAAAGUUAGACCCCUUGGGAUACCAUAAUCUAACAUCAUGAGUGCCCUUAAGAUACCUCAAUAUCCUUUUGGUUGCCUUCAAGUGACUCUCCCUUGGCGAAGCUUGAUAUCUUGCACACUUGCACACACUAAACAUCACAUCCGGCCUUGAUGCGGUGACAUAGAGCAAACUUCCAAUCAUGGACCGAUAUAGCUUUUGAUCUACCAUGUUGCCACUUGCAUCACUACCUAAUUGAUCAUUUGUGCCCAUAGGUGUGCUCAUUUGUUUAGCUUCUUGCAACCCAAACUUCUUGAUCAUGUCCUUGAUGUACUUUCCUUGACUUACAAAAGUGCCAUCCUUCAUUUGCUUGAUUUGAAGACCAAGGAAGUAACUAAGCUCUCCUAUCAUGGACAUCUCAAACUCAUUUGCCAUCAUUCUUCCAAAUUCUUCACAAAAGUCUUGAUUGGUUGAUCCAAAGAUGAUAUCAUCAACAUAGAUUUGCAACACAAACAAGUCAUUGCCUAGCUUCUUGGUGAAGAGGGUAGUGUCAACCUUUCCCAUCUUGAACCCUUUAGAGAGAAGGAAAUCUCUCAAUCUCUCAUACCAUGCUCUAGGUGCUUGCUUCAAACCAUACAAUGCCUUCUUGAGCUUGUAAACAUGGUUGGGUUUCUUAUCAUCUUCAAAACCGGGAGGUUGUUCAACAUAAACCAACUCAUUGAUGUAUCCAUUGAGAAAUGCACUCUUCACAUCCAUUGGAUAGAGCUUGAUGUUGUGGGCACAAGCAUAGGCUAAUAAUAUUCUAAUUGCCUCCAAUCUUGCAACCGGUGCAUAUGUUUCUCCAAAGUCAAGACCUUCAACUUGAGUGUAGCCUUGAGCUACUAAUCUUGCUUUGUUUCUCACAACCACACCAUCUUGAUCUUGCUUGUUUCUAAAGACCCACUUGGUACCAAUCACAUUGUAGUUCUUUGGCCUCUCAACAAGCUCCCACACUUGGUUUCUUGUGAAGUUGUUCAAUUCUUCAUGCAUGGCAUUUACCCAAUCGGAAUCCUUCAAUGCAUCUUCUAUUCUCUUUGGUUCUUCAAAUGAGACAAAUGAAUAGUGCUCACAAAAGGAUGCUAGUCUUGAUCUUGUUUGAACACCAUUUUGAAUACCACCAAUGACUUGAUCCAAUGGAUGAUCCCUUGCUAUACUAGUAGGUUGGAGUAUUGGGAGUUGAUUACUUCCACUAGCUUGAUUUUGAUCUUGAUCAUCAUCAUGAGAGCCACUAGUACUUGCUUGAUUUGUGUCAAUUUGCACUUCUUGAUUGAUCAUGUGAAUAUCACUAUCAUCAUCAACUUGCCUUGGCCUUAUGUCACCUACAUCCAUGUUCUUCAUUGCAUUUGCCAAUUGAUCUCCUCUCAUAUCAUCAAGAUUUUGAGCUUCACUUUGAGAUCCCUCGGUUUCAUCAAACUCAACAUCAUGGACUUCUUCCAAUGUGCCACUUGCCAAGUUCCAAACUCUAUAUGCCUUGCUUGUGGUGGAAUAACCAAGUAAAAACCCUUCAUCACAUUUCUUCUCAAACUUGCUCAAUCUAGUGCCUUUCUUGAGAAUGUAGCAUUUGCAACCAAACACUCUAAAGUAUGCAAUGUUGGGCUUUCUUCCAUUCAAUAGCUCAUAUGGUGUCUUCCCAAGCUUCCCAUGGCAAUAGAGACGGUUGCUACAAUAGCAAGCCGUGUUGAUAGCUUCACUCCAAAAUGAAUGGCUAACAUUGUAUUCACUAAGCAUUGAUCUAGCCAUAUCAAUCAAGGUUCUAUUCUUUCUUUCAACUACACCAUUGGAUUGAGGAGUGUAUGUUGGAGAGAAUUGAUGUCCAAUGCCAAGAUCAUCACACAAUUCUUCAAUUCUUGUGUUCUUGAAUUCACUACCAUUGUCACUUCUAAUCUUCUUGAUAGUGGUUUCAAACUCAUUUUGCACCCUCUUGACAAAAGACUUGAAUAGAUCACAAACAUCACUCUUGUCAUAGAGGAAGAACACCCAAGUGUAUCUAGUGUAGUCAUCUACUAUCACAAAUCCAUACUUGUUACCACCAAUGCUAGUGUAUGUUGUUGGCCCAAAUAAAUCCAUGUGCAAUAGCUCAAAUGCCUUUGAUGUGCUCAUUUCACUUUUCUUAGGAUGUGCAUUUCCAACUUGCUUUCCGGCUUGACAAGCACUACAUGGUUUAUCCUUCUCAAAGGUGACAUCCUUCAAGCCUCUAACUAAGUCAUGCCUCAACAGUUUGUUUAAUUGUUUCAUUCCAACAUGACCAAGCCUUCUAUGCCACAACCAACCCAAACUUGAUUUGCUAAUUAGGCAAGAUGUCAAUUGAGGGUCACUAUCAUUGAAAUCAACCAAGUAUAAGCUACCAUGCCUAAAUCCUUUGAAUAUCAAGUUUGAUCCAUCAACACUAACCACCUCAACAUCAUCACUUCCAAAGAUGCACUUGAAACCAAGGUCACAAAGUUGUGCAAUUGACAAGCGAUUGAAAUCAAGGCUCUCAACUAGCAACACAUUUGAUAUGCUCAUGUCAUUUGAGAUAGCAAUUUUACCAAGCCCCUUGACCUUGCCUUUCUUGUUGUUGCCGAAGGUGAUAGAAUCAAAGCCACCAUUUUGACUAGUAUCAAUUGAUUUGAACAUACAAGACUCCCCGGUCAUAUGUUGAGUGCACCCACUAUCAAGCACCCAAUGCCUUCCUCCGGCUUUGUAAUUGACCUACAAGACAAGAUCAAUUCUUUUUAGGUACCCAAACUUGAUUGGGUCCUCCAAGGUUAGCAACUAAGCUCUUUGGUACCCAAAUGGCUUUCUUCUUUGAGCCCAUCCAUGGUGCACCAAUGAACUUAGCAUGAACACCUUUUGUAUCCUUGAUAAGCACAUAGAAAGAAUUUAGCUUAAUUGAGGAUACAUGAGCUUUGGGUUUCUUGUUCAUGCAUUGUUGCUCUAGGUGACCAACUUGCUUGCAAGCUUUGCAAUAUCGGCCAUUGUUCUUCACAAAACUAGUCUUGUGAGGAGCAAAAGCGGCUUUGCCUUUCUUGGGGUUAUAGCCCAAUCCCUCUUUGUAGAGAGAAGCUCUUUGGCUACCCAAGCACAUAAGCAAGCGGUCCUCACCACCAUAAGCCUUGGCUAAGGUGUGAUUGAGCUCUUUCACCUCCUUCUUGAGAAUUUCAUUCUCAACUUUUAGUGUGGUGUCACAAGUGAAACCAUCACUACUAGAUGAGGAUGAUGUAGAUGUGCUACAUGAAGGGUUAGUAGAAGCAACAACAAUAGGCUUACUUAAGAUAUCACAUGUUAGGCCUAUGUUGCAAGUUUUAGUUUUCUCCAUUUUAGUUGGCUCAUUUUCACAUUUGUUAACUAGAGAGGAAUGAGCUUCUUCAAGCUUAGUGUGAGCUUUUUGAAGCUUCUUAUGGUCUUCCUUUAGACUCUCAUAAGAUGCUCUAAGCUCAUCAAGUUCUUGCUCAAGGGUUUUCUUAUCCUUAAGCAAGGCCUUGCACUCCUUUCUAGUUUCUUUAUAGUGAUGAGUGCAAUCUUCUAGCAUAGUGAUUAGUUCAUCUUUAGUUGGUUCAUCAUCAUCACUAUUGUUGACGGUCCUUAAGCAUCAAAUUUAAUUAUCAAAUAAACAAAGAAAAGGAUCCAAAUGAAAUCAACAUCUAGACUUAGGGUUUUAUCUGACAGAAUUCCACGAGUUUUGGUGUUUGUCUAUUUCUGCAGGGGGUUAUCAGAAAAUAAGGAAGAAAGGCCCACAUGUCGGGAUUACAUAGAGAUAUCAACCCACCGCGCAAUUUUCUACCAUCUAGAAGACUCCAGAAGCCACGGGAAGGAAGCGGAGCCCGAAAGGGGCCAGGCCCAGGGCGCCCGCCCUGAGGACCUGGGCGCCCGCCCCCCUCUGGACUCCGUUCCGGACUCUCUUCGCACACGACGUUCCACCGACCUAUUGGAUCCAGAAUAACAUAGUACCACCUCGCCUAUCGACCCAAAAACGCAUAGAAGGGGAGGACUAUAUAAGGAGACCCCCUCUGGCCUCUAGAGGAGACAAGAAAUUAUCAUAGAGAUUGAGGGGUGCCCUCGAAGGAAAACCUCUUCUCUAAAUAAUAUUUCUUUUUAGGCUUAGCAACCAAUGUAAAGUAGAAAUAGAUCUUCUAGUUUCUACUAGAUUGAGAGAGAUAGAGUGGAGGUGUGGAUCGGAGGAAGGCCGGCCUGUCAGUGUCUACUCCGAGUUGUACCUGCGGGAUCAAGUCUCCUAACCCGAGGCUUGCUUCUAAGAUUCUUCAGUAAUUCGACUUCUAAUACUAGUAAGUUCUUGUUUUUAUUGUUCUUUGGUUUAUGAGUUUACUUUAAUCCUCUUCCGGUUGAGUAUUAGAGUAAUCACUUGUUAGCGUAAACGUGGUGUUUAGGCUAGGGUAUUCAUAGAUAUCCCCUGACUAGCUGGACCGUGGUAGUAGCGAGGAACGUGACAUUUCCGAGUUACCUUUGUAGAUCACAUCUCGUUAGCAGGACGGGUAGGUUUAUAGGUGCGGGUCGAACAUCCUUUGUGUUGUCUAGAUUCCGUGAGCCUCCCCAAUAGAACAGUAGAUCAUCCUUACCAAGGUUAGAACGAGACUAUGGUUGCAGUCUUCUCUAUACAUCACUCACAUCGAGAGACAUUCUUUGUAGCCUAAAGGGAUAGUAGCCUAGAUUUGGUUAGUCAGAUGCACCCUUUCUCCCAGUGGUAAAAAUAUAAAUACGAUAACUCUGGAUAACCUCCCGGGUGAAAUGCUCACCGAUAUCUGUGCGCUUGCGGAUCAUUUUCUAAUUGCGUUACCAAAUAUCAACAAGCAUUUCUGGCGCCGUUGCCGGGGAGAAAGACGGUUUGCUGAGAUAACUUUGAGUCUUGCUAUUAUCUUGUAUUAUACUUUUAUACUUUUAUUCUUUUAUCUUUUUAUUUUGUCUAUCUUAAAUUCCAUACCUAUUAUUGAACUCUUUGCACCUUCAGAGACCAGCCAUAGACCAUGGGUGUCAACACGUCCUGCCCCUAAUUAUGAUCUGUGUUCGGAGUUGAUUGCAAUAGGUCAAAACCAACCCUUUUCUAUAGCUGAGGUCCUAUCUUUUAAUCAAGAAGAUAAUGCACUUUUAGCUACACCUAGGGAAUCUGUUAAUCUUUCUAUAAAUUCUGGUUUAGACCUAGCCCUACAAGACCAUGUUUUUCCUAAAUAUUUUCACAUUGGUUUUAAUCAUAUAACCUUUGGUAGAGUCAUUCUUUCUUUAUCUAUUAGUAAAGGAAGGUAUGUCUUCAUUUGUGGACAUCCUUCUUGUACUAGCCUUCAUAGAAUAAUCUUAGAGAUAGAGAAGGAAUCAUCUCCCAGACGAGGAAAGGAAGUUUCAAUAGCCGAUUUCCAAACAUUUCAAUCCCAUGAUUCGGCUAUCCAUCCCAUCCUUGAGCUUAAUAGUUUCUACUAUGCUCUUCCUUUUGAACCUCCCGAUAAUCCUAUGAAUCUUUCUAGACAUCCCAUGCAUAAGAAGGAGGAUCGAGAAGAGCAACAUCAAUGGCUAGAGGGCAUUAAAAAUCCAUGUGCUAUCACCAUUGAAUGGAUAGAUAAAACAAACUUGAGAGACAAUCCUAGAGGAAUUUUAAUCAUUCAUGAAGAAUCAUCCUUGGAGUUUGAGAAUGAGAGAAACAACAGUGAGCAUGGAAGUUAUUUCAUAAAUACCUCACCCAGUCCUUGCUCAUAUAAAACAUCUCUCCAAUCAAUUUGUCUCUCCAUCCUUACCACAUUUGAGAUCUCCAACCCCCUCUUCUUUUCUAUUUAUAAAAACUUUAAAAGGGCAGUUGUCGAUGCAUAUGUCUAUAAUAAAUAUUGCAGAUCUCGUUGAGUUAAUUGAUGGUUCCCCAAGGACAAGCUUAGUGUCCUAAAACAAGCACUUCUAAUUAUUUGCAACAUUGCCUUGUGUAUUGAGCAUAUAAAGAUAAUUGUAGAAAUAUUCCUUCGGGUAUUCUUGCCACUAACCUCUCUAGGAUUGGAGCAAGAAGAUCGGAUGAAUGACAAGCGCAAGGUAUGCCCAACCAAUCAUCAUGCAACAUUAAAUUAAAUUCAUCCAAUCUUGAAUUUUGCAAAAUUCAAGCUUGGGGGAGUACUUUACAUAAAACAUCCUUUGCCAUGUUGCUAUGUUGGUUGUCCUUACCUUUGAGACAUGCUCAAUUUGUUAAAUACUAAUCACACUACUUCAUCUCCACUUGAGUAGAUCUCUAUAAAAGCCAUCAUGCUACCUUUGUUUAUCCUAGUAAGUGUUAGUUUGGAAGUACUGGUCACACUUCCAAUGGCAUUUAAAUUAAGCGUGGUGCUUAUGUUAAAUAGCCUUCCUUAAUCUGAUUAGACAUGGAGUCUAGUUUGGUUACUGAACUAAAAACUGCUUGAGUAGAUAUUGGUAUAUUUUGUUGGACUAACCCCUGUAGGAAAACUUUCAAUAUCAACCUGGGAAGUCCUGAGAUGCAAACUCAUUAGAGAUGAAGAAAGUGACACAUGAAGUUUAACAAUUUGCACAAGAAAGACGUAGCUCAUAAGAGAUGAUUCAUGGAGGGUGCCACAAACACGAUGCACAACCGCUAAGAAAGGAAAGCUUCCACAAGGUGAUACUGUACCAUCACUCUUCAAGUAAGGUAACAUCUUAAGGUACUUGACUAACACUUUUAUAAGCUCCUCCUUGGUUCUGGCAUUCACAUAAAUAAAGAGACAAACAUGUAUGAUUUAUAACUCCAAAUUAACCAACUCAAUUAAUUCAACAUGUUUAGUCCUUUAAUCUUUGUUCUUAGUACUACCUUCGUGACCCCACACUCCUAAUCAUAUAAGCUAAAGUAUUGCACAUGUAAUCUUUGGAAGAUAUAAACAAAACAUAAAUAUAGAUAGAUUAUCUUUCCAUUAGGUUGAGCCAUCUGAUCUGACAAAUGCUACACUCAUGAUCCAUCAAUUUUGUCUUGCUCACUAUGCUUAAGGUUAGAGAAGAACAAAUACACUUUUGGUUCUGUUGGUGUUUUCCACCAACAGGGCCCAUGCACUUGAUCUCUACCUUGUCUCUAUGAGCAGGAACACUUCGAGCAUAAUAUGAAGGAGUUUUACAACUCCCAGAUUCCACCAAGUGAAGAACUAGGAUCUACGAGCACAAACACACUGGAGAUACUGGACGCUCAGGCAAUCACUGCCCUAAGAUGCUUGAGGACGUGAACUACAUCAACAACAAUAACAACUAUUACUACAACCGUCCUCAACAACAUCAAGGUUGGAAUCAACAGAGGCCUAAUUACUCAGAGAGGUGAUCUAGGACGCCGCGUCAUCCCGAUCUCCAUCGGCAUGGUGGACUUCCCAGAAGCACUCUGCGACUUUGGCUCCAGCGUCAACAUUAUGCCCAGGGUUGCAGAUCGGACACUCAGUUUUCCAAAGGAAAUAUUGAAGAACCUCUGCGUCCGAGUUGGUACCUUGUAUGCUCUAGCAGACUUCAUGGUGAUAGAGACUGGUACUGAGGAGAGGGCACCCAUCAUUUUAGGGAGGCCAUUCCUAAACACUAGAGGUGUCAUCUACGCUAAUGCUGCCAAGAUCAGUCUCUACAUCAAGGGGAAGAAGGAGACUUUCCUUCAAGAACAAGACUACACAAACUUCAGAGCAACCCCGACAUGAACCAAGGAAGAGGACCAACAGGAGGAACAGGAACAAGCAAAUAUGGACCGAGUCAGCUAAGAUGGUCACUGCAGUUCAAGGAGGUCAAGAUCGUCGACUCAAGUCACCUUUCUUGAUCAAGAAGGAGGACCCUGGUGUUCUAAGCAUUGAGUGCACAAUCAACAGAUACUCUUUUCAAAAGACACUCUACGACACCGGAUCUGACGUCAACAUAAUGGCCGUAGUCACUUAUCAGCUCCUGCAUGAAACCAUGCCCCUACAACCAAUAUACAUUCAGCUAUAGAUGACUUUCAAGUUAUUGACAUGGGAGAAGAUGAAUAUGAUCCACCCACCAUCCUUGGAAGACAGUUCCUCAGCACUAUCAAAGCCAUCAUCUAUAUUGGAACCGGAGAAGUCCACAUACACUUCUCCUCUGAGAAGGUAUGCCGCUGUUUUACUGACCCUAACUAUAUAGUUGAAGACUCUAAGCAGGUCAGGACAAGAAGAAGACAACGCAACCGCAACCACAGGAGGCAAAUCAUCAAGGACGGAUGGGUAGACUACGAAGGAGAAAUGAUAAGGACUGAAGACAUACCACUUGAACAUAACUGUCCUGAGGAGACCGUAGCACCGAGUUAGGUGUGGAGAGAGAAGAUAGUUAUAAAUGAAGAGGAGGCGCUGCCGGAAGUACCGACUACGCCACCCAACGAACCUCAGGACGAUUAAGAAAAUGGAGAGUCCCGCUCGGAGGACUUAAAAACACCGAACGCCUUGCCAAGAGGUAAACUUGGUAGUUAUCCUUUCCCUUUUAAUUAUUUCAAAUAGAUUACUUAGUUAAUCAUGUUCGUAUCAUCCUAGAAAGAAAAUAAAAAUGUGAAAAAAACUGUAAGCCCCAUGUGAGUAGACGAGUGGCAUAAAACCCAUAAGUACAUUCACUGUGGUGGCAUAAAAAUAAAAUAAAUGUUUUUCUGCUUUAUAAAAACAAAAAUAUAAAAACAGGGAGUAAUAUUUAUUAAGGAGUCUCAACAUGAUAAAGGCUAGAUAUUUAUGCUAACACUUAAUCAGUUCCACAAGCUUUGUUGUCUAUUUGAGCUCCACAGAAUUUAAGAAUCAAGAAGACUAGCAGACGCAGGACAUUCUAAUCGCUGUCAAAAUACUGCUGACUUUCAAACACACCUCUACCACCUAGCUACAUCAAGAGAAAUUACGUCAAAAAUCCAGCUUGGGGGAGAGCACCCCCAUUUAUCUCGAUAAGUAUUUCUAUCUAUCUUUAUACUUAUACUAUAUUAGAAUAUAAAUACACAUAACUAUGAAAAACCAAAUAAAGAUUUUAUGAUUAUAUAUAUAUUGCUUAGUGUGUUUAAUAAAUAAAUAAAGUGGCUAUGCUAAUCUGUAUCUAAUAAAACUUAAGCAUGGAUAUGAUGAAUAGUUGCUCUGCCUAAUUUGCAAAUUUGAAAUUCUCUCUCAAGUUUAGAUAUAACUGUUAUAAUUUAAGGCUUGCUCUAGACCUAAACUUGUGGGAUCAAAACUUGAUCUGAAGUCUAAGUUGUUAACAGAUACGAUAUGGGAAGGUUGAGCUGCUGUUCAUCUGUUCCUAGAGAUGCUAGAAUUCUGGAGAAUUUUAUCUUUGAAAAAUCUUUAAAAUAACACAUGAUGAGUUCCUGUAUGAUGAGAGUUUAAAUUCCUACCACAGCCAUAUAUACAUGCUUGCUAGACCUUGAGCCACACAUUUACUAUUUACUGCUUAUGAGCAUUGAGUGUGAUCAAGCUGUGUAGACCCUUAGGAGCUUGUCAUGUGGUUAAAUCAAGAUUCACUUGCACGUUCACUCAUACAUGCUACUUCUACUCCGGAAGUACCAUCCACAUAUAUCCACUCAUUUCCAUCUCCAAAACCACCCAAAAGUAUUCUACUCCUAAUCCGGGAGAGAAUAACCAAAAAUAUUUCUGUUUCCCCUUGUGAAAUAAAUGCUCAAGUUAUCUUGUUACUACCACUUGCUAUAUUAUCUCAAGAGAUGAAUGCUCUAAAAAAAAGAGAGAAAAAGAAAAUAAAAGAUACGAGGAAAUAAAAAGGAGCAAGUGCUCGGAACCUCGAAAGAAAAGAAAACGAAGAGCAUCUCAUUCUCCUCAUAAAGUUUCAAAAGCAAGGAAGGUAUGUAUCCCCUCAAAGAGCAAAGUAGAAUUAGGCUUCCACCACCAUUGUUAUCACCAUCAUCACCAUACACCAUUCAUUCGCCACACAUGCACAUCUUGAUUUGGCUUAUUGAUUUGUUUCUUUGGAUCCAUGGUUUGACUAUGCAAUAAAUGUCUUGUAAGUAUGUAUACUUUAUCUCCCACCUAUGAGCUCCAGAUAUUAAAGCCUUAUUAGAGUAGGGUGAGAGAGAAGACAAUGACACUAUGCUUCAUACCACAAAUACUACAUAUUUUGAGAGAAGGCAUAUACCAUCACUGCCUUGGUAAGGAUCCAAAAAUACCACAAAAGAGAGAUCUGAGAGAGUCAUAUAAGGAAUCUCUGAGUUUUAUUUGAAAAUCUACAAAAACCCCAGAGCUAUAGCUGAUCAAGAAUAAGAGACAUGGCACUUGGCUAGACUGUUCUAUCUUUUAACCACUCAAGACAGAAGUGACGGUUACAAGUCCUAUGAUGUAGGUAAAGUAAGUAAGUUUUAAGUCUUAACAGUUUAUUCUAACUCAGAGAUGAGAUCUUGUUUAAAUGCGUGUGUACUUCUAAGAAAUGAAACCACUGCAGAAACUCUUGAGUUCAUCCUUGCUCAGGGACGAGCAAGAGGUAAGCUUGGGGGAGUUUGUUGACGGUCCUUAAGCAUCAAAUUUAAUUAUCAAAUAAACAAAGAAAAGGAUCCAAAUGAAAUCAACAUCUAGACUUAGGGUUUUAUCUGACAGAAUUCCACGAGUUUUGGUGUUUGUCUAUUUCUGCAGGGGGUUAUCAGGAAAUAAGGAAGAAAGGCCCACAUGUCGGGAUUACAUAGAGAUAUUAACCCACCGCGCAAUUUUCUACCAUCUAGAAGACUCCAGAAGCCACGGGAAGGAAGCGGAGCCCGAAAGGGGCCAGGCCCAGGGCGCCCGCCCUGAGGACCUGGGCGCCCGCCCCCCUCUGGACUCCGUUCCGGACUCUCUUCGCACACGACGUUCCACCGACCUAUUGGAUCCAGAAUAACAUAGUACCACCUCGCCUAUCGACCCAAAAACGCAUAGAAGGGGAGGACUAUAUAAGGAGACCCCCUCUGGCCCCUAGAGGAGACAAGAAAUUAUCAUAGAGAUUGAGGGGUGCCCUCGAAGGAAAACCUCUUCUCUAAAUAAUAUUUCUUUUUAGGCUUAGCAACCAAUGUAAAGUAGAAAUAGAUCUUCUAGUUUCUACUAGAUUGAGAGAGAUAGAGUGGAGGUGUGGAUCGGAGGAAGGCCGGCCUGUCGGUGUCUACUCCGAGUUGUACCUGCGGGAUCAAGUCUCCUAACCCGAGGCUUGCUUCUAAGAUUCUUCAGUAAUUCGACUUCUAAUACUAGUAAGUUCUUGUUUUAUUGUUCUUUGGUUUAUGAGUUUACUUUAAUCCUCUUCCGGUUGAGUAUUAGAGUAAUCACUUGUUAGCGUAAACGUGGUGUUUAGGCUAGGGUACUCAUAGAUAUCCCCUGACUACCUGGACCGUGGUAGUAGCGAGGAACGUGACAUUUCCGAGUUACCUUUGUAGAUCACAUCUCGUUAGCAGGACGGGUAGGUUUAUAGGUGCGGGUCGAACAUCCUUUGUGUUGUCUAGAUUCCGUGAGCCUCCCCAAUAGAACAGUAGAUCAUCCUUACCAAGGUUAGAACGAGACUACGGUUGCAGUCUUCUCUAUACAUCACUCACAUCGAGAGACAUUCUUUGUAGCCUAAAGGGAUAGUAGCCUAGAUUUGGUUAGUCAGAUGCACCCUUUCUCCCAGUGGUAAAAAUAUAAAUACGAUAACUCUGGAUAACCUCCCGGGUGAAAUGCUCACCGAUAUCCGUGCGCUUGCGGAUCAUUUUCUAUUUGCGUUACCAAAUAUCAACAACUAUCACUAUCACUAUCAUGGUCACUCUCAUCAUCGGAUGAUACCUUAGUGGCCUUAGCCAUGAAGCAUGAUGGAGUGUCAAAGAUGGAGCUCUUUCCUUGAAUUGCAAUGCUAGCAUGCCCCUUCUUGUUGCUCUCAUCAUCACUUGAGGAGUCAUCACUAUCCCAAGUUGCAACAUGGGCAUCACCCUUUUUCUUGUUUGAGCCUUCCUUCUUUUCUUGCUUCUUCUUUUGCUUCUUUCUUUCCUUCUUGAUAGCAUCUUCAUCAUCACUAUCAUAAGGACACUUGGCGAUGAGAUGAUCCUUGCUAUGGCAUCUAAAGCACCUCAUGGAAUGGUCAUUCUUCUUGGAGGAGCUCUUCUUUCUUCUUGCCGGAUACCCCUUCUUCUUCAUAAACUUGCCAAAUCUUUUGACAAGAAGAGCCAUCUCCUCAUCUUCAUCGCUAUCACAAGAACUUGCUUCUUCUUCACUUGAUGACUCUAUCUUGGCUUUUCCCUUGGAUGAGGAGGCCUUGAAUGCCACACUCUUCUUCUUCUCAUCAUCCUUCUUCUCACCAUCCUUCUUCUUUUUCUUGAUCAAUUCAUCCUUCUCAUCAUCUUCUCUAUAAGCAUCAUCGGUCAUCACUUCUUGGAAGACUUGUUGGGGAGUUGAUUCACUAAGUGUUGUCUUGACUACUACGGUGAUCAAUGUGUCAAAUCUCUUGGGCAAGCUUCUCAAGAACUUCAUAGAGAAUUGACUAUCCUUCACUUCUUCCCCAAGUGCCUUGAGCUCAUUCACAAUAACUUGCAACCGGUGAAACAUUUCCGGCACACUUUCAUCUUCUUGCAUCUUGAAGCUUGAGAACUUCUCUUGGAGGAUGUAAGCUUUUGCAGUCUUAGUACCUUUGGUGCCUUCAAAUGUUUCUUCUAAUUUUGCCCAUGCAUCAUGAGCAACCUCAAUGUUCUUGAUUUGCUCAAAGGUCUUGUCAUCAAGAGCUUCAUGAAGAGCACUAAUUGCAAUGUCAUUGCAUUGAAGCUUCUUUUCUUCAACUGGUGUAGGUGCAUUCUCAUUUGCAACCUCAAACUUUGUUUCGGUCACCUUCCAAACUUCUCUAUUGAUUGACUUGAGAUGGGCGGUCAUCUUGACCUUCCAAUAAGCAUAAUUGGUGCCAUCAAAGUAAGGUGCCUUCUUAGUGUUGUUGAUAUGCAAACUAAGAGCCAUUUCUUCACCGUAGGUUGUUAAGCCUCAAAUAAACGGUGCCUCGGCUCCGAUACCACUUGAAAGGUCCAAAUGGCUAGAGGGGGGGUGAAUAGCAGCAUAUUCUCCAAUUACAAUCUACCGACUCAAACCCUAAUCCCAGCAUAUUCUCCAAUUACAAUCUACCGACUCCAAGUCACUCGCGUAAUUUCGCAUUACAAAGACCACGCGUGCCCCCUGUCUAGGGCUUCAGCCGGUCGGAGGCUUGGAUCCUCCGCCCAGUCGCGGAUCCUUCGACACUUCAUGUGUCGGAGGUUCCUUAGCUCGGACGCGCCGGGGGUUCCUCGGCUCAGCUGUCCUGGAGGUUCCUUGGCUCGCCCGGUCGCCGAUCCUUCGACGCGUCUCCGUCGGAGGUUCUGAAAGGUCCAAAUGGCUAGAGGGGGGUGAAUAGCCUAUUUAAAUUUUCUACAAACUUCAACUAGACAAGUUGAUUAGUAAAACAAAAGGCGAAGCUAUUCUAGCACUAGCACAACUAAGCUAUGCAAGCCACCUAAACAAGUCUAGUACAAGGCUAAACACUAAAGCACUACAACAAGAGAAGGCUAGUUACACUCCUAAACAAGAAGACUAAACUAAACAAGCUAAACAACUAGCAAGGUAUACAAGUAAGUAAAGGAGUGGAGAGUGAUUGUUAUACCAACGUUGUAGAGUAGAGAUAUAACCAACCAAUCACUCACAAUUACAAGAGAAUCCUCGGCAAGAGAUGACACAAGAUUUUUUACCGAGGUUCACUUGCUUCCCGGCAAGCUACUCCUCGUUGUGGCGAUACACCCACUUGAUGGAUCACGAGCUAAUUGGCAAUCCAAAGCCAAACCCUCAGCAGGUGCCGCACAUCCACUCACAAGAUGGGGAUCCUCCAAGCCACGAGCAAUCCACUAGAGUAGCCAAUUGCGAUCUCCCGCGGGGAAGGCUCAAGAACCCCUCACAAAUCACUUGGUGAGGCUCGAAACAAUCUCCAAUCACGAGCUCCACACCACCGCUGCUCCAAGCCGUCUAGGGCGUCGGGAAACACCUAAGAGUAACAAGAAAUCCGCAGCAAACUCAAGAAUCAAGUGCCACUAAAUGCAACUCUCAAAGCAAUGCACUUGAAUCUCACUCAAUCUCACUAGGAUGAGCAAUCAAGCAAGGAGAUGAGUGGAGGGAGUGUUCUCUAGCUCAAUGUAUGCCUCAAGUAUUCAAAAUGUGCAAGAGAGAACCUCCCAAAGCUGGCCACCAACUAUUUAUAAGCCACCUCAAAGAAAUAGCCGUUGGCUGUUUUUCACUGGGUUGAAAACGGGGGCACCGCACGCUACUAAGUGAGCACCGGACGCUCGACCCCCUACGUCCGGUGCACUGGAGUUGGCCACGUGUCCUCUUUGAAUCUCGCGCGUCAGUUUCUAACGGCUACCUGCAACACACCGGACGCUCUGCAAGUCCACACCGGACGGUCCGGUGCUCACCGGACUCGUGCGCAGAGAGGGUGUCAAACUCGCGACCUCACCGGACGCUGGGCACCGGACGGUCCGGUGCUCACCGGACUCGUGCGCAGAGAGGGUUGCAAAAACCCCUCACACCGGACGCUCUCAGAGUGCGUCCGGUGCUUAACCCUAGCAGGGUCAAGCACACCGGACGCUGAGGCCAGCGUCCGGUGCCUCCGUACUCAGCGUCCGGUGAGUGUUUCUCACUAAGAAAACACUCCCGCGACUCCUCUAAAUUUCCCACCGGCGCAAUAGAAAAUAUAUACUUAUUUUUCUCAAAAGCGCCGAAUCUCGCCUCGCAAGCUCGGCGGGAGGAAGAGAGGAACCCACACCCCUCUCAACCCUAGGAACUUCACCUCCUUCAACCCUAAGGAGUUUUCUUCCGUCCGGCGGGAAAUUGAGUCCCUGAGAAAGGAAAGAGAUGAUUACAAGGCUGGGUCGGAGGUCUUGAAGAAGGAGAAAGAAGAUGACGAAGCUUCGGCGGCUGUCCUCCGCACGAAUGUCACUGAGGCGGGGAGAGCUAGGGAUUUGGCCCUACAGCGAGCCGAGAAGGCGGAGGACAUUGCUGACCGCCUUCGCAAGGAGCUUGAUGCUGAGCGGAUGUCUGCGGCUGAGCUGCAGACGCGCAUGCAGAAGGCGGAAGCGGAGGCUGCAGCUAUUGUUGGGCUCUAUGCCGACUCGCUGGCGCAGUUUGGGGGAAGCACCUCUGCUCCUCCGCCCAACGGCGACGCUGGGGCUGGCCUCGCAUGGCUGAAGUCUCAUAUCCGUAUGCUCCCUGACUUUGUCGGGGGUGCUGUUGAUUUUGGGGCUUUGGCCGCGGUUAGCUCCUUUGCUAAGCUGUUGCGUCGUGGAGGUUGCUCCCACGCGGAGGGAGUUGCCAAGGAGGAGUUCGCGUCUGCGGAGGAUGUUGGCGAGGGCACCUCGAGCCUGCGCAAAUCUGUCCGGAACUUCAUUAGUUCGUUCUGGAUUAGGUUUGGGCGGGCUGAGGCGAAGAAGAUGGCGGAAGCUCGUCGCGCUGAGGUAUUCUUUGUCUUGGUUUUUCUUUUUGUAUUCUGUUUUGCUGCUUUGCAAUGUUUCUUAAGCUUGUUGAUUUGCAGGAGAUUGCCAAGAGGGCGGCUAAGGUUGACAAGCCCGGUCCUUCGCGUCCCCCUAGCGAAGCGCGUCCUUCGACUCAGGCUGAGGCGAAGGUUCGUGACGCAAGUGUUAAGGCUCCAGAGGAAUCUGGUGCCAAGGAUUCGGCGCAGCCCGAGACUUCUGCCCCUCCUCCGCCUCAGGUGUGAGGCUUUUUAGUUUGUAGGUUUUUUCUUAGCUUUUUUGCGUCUGUAUGUGUGACGCUUUUUGUAAGUAAGGCCGAAGGUUCUGAUUAAUUUGUAAAGACUAUUGAAAAAUGUAAUAUAAAGAGUUGUUUUUGGAUAAGCCAUUUUUUACACUUUGAUCCUGCGCAGGUCUCUGGCGGAGGACCUGCGCAGGAUCUUAGCGAAACUCUGCUUUCAAUUUUCUAUAAAGGAAUUUAUGUUUCUGGCGAGUUGUGGGAGUACUGGCGGAUUGCCUUCCCCAAUAUGAGAGUGGUGGAUAUGUUUGAGUUUGUUGGAUACGACCUGGAUGACGAACGAUCUGAAUUCGUCCGGUCGCUUGCGCGCCGAGGUUCAUGGCCUCCGGCUUAGGUUGUUGUUUUUGUCUUGUUUUUCGCUUAUCGUGGACUAUGCGUUUAUUUGGGAGAGAGGAACCCACACCCCUCUCAACCCUAGGAACUUCACCUCCUUUGUAAAUGUGCUAACACCAACAAGUGUCCACCACCAAAGUUGCAAGUGUGUUAGAUUUUCACAAACAUUUUCACCAAAGGAGUUAAGUUAGCACUUUACUAGAUCCUAAUGCAUAUGCUCAAGAUAUGAACCUAGUAGCACUUGAUUCGAGAGAUGACCGUGAUUUCUCCUCUUGAUAGUCGGCUAUCUAUCCUAAACCCGGUCAAUCACUUCUCUACUCAUCUUAGACCGGCAAAAGUAAAACCCUAUGUUUAUACCUUUGCCUUGAUAACUUUGCUCCUCGUCUAUCACCAUGAUCUCCACUUCAUGCUUCAUCCCUUUAUGAUCGUGUGGCCACCUUUCCAUGCCACUAUGCACCUUCAUGACAUGUGUUGCUAUGCCUAACUCAAAUCACUUAAACACAAGGCAUUAGCAACUUGGUGUCAUUAAUUACCAAAACCAAACUUGGGCUUUCAGGUUCCCUGACUUGACGCGUCGGAGGUCCCUCGCCUCCGCCGCGUCCUCAACCAUCCUCAGACUUGAGAGGGCCGGAGGUUACUCUCUUCCUUGCUUGUGGGCCUCCGCUGGUGCAGUCCCUGCACGCACUUAGCACGACAAGACGAGUCAUCAAUAUUAGUCUUUUUUCAGGGUCCUCCGCACGCAACUCCACGAAGGUUCCCUGGGUGGAGGAUAUCCUCCGACACUUCAGAGGUCGGAGGUUCCUUGGCUUGAAGGGCAUCCUUAGACGCUGCCAGGGGGAAGGGUGCGGCCAUCCCCCAACAGUUCCCCCCUUUUUGGGCUAAUGGCACUCCUGCGGUCCAUGUGCUCAAAAACAUGCCACGCUGCGGAGGCUACGAGCAUGGUUGCUGCCUUCCCCCCUGGCGCGCAGGAUGUGCUUGUUAGCAUUGUUGGAAAAAUGUUUCUUUUCCUUAGUCAUAAUUUUCUUCGUUUGUUUGUUUUGCCAGGAUCCUCCGGUCAUUACUGUUCUGAUAUCCUGUUAUCCUUCGCGAUUUAUAUUGCGGAGGUUAUUAUAGUCGUUGGAGUUAGCCGUUGGUGCUGGGGAAUCGCAACGGUCAGGCCGAAUCCUCCGCUUUUAGCUGUUGGGAGCGGGGAAUCGCAACGGUCACGCGGUCGCAGGCCCCCCCUAUAAAAGGGAAUGCUGGGGAGCCUUGAGCUCUCACCCCUGCCUCUCAUUGCUUGCACACUUUCCUUCGCCACAUCUUCCUCUCUGAGCUGCUCGUGCGCGUUUUUGUUGUGUUUAGUUCCUAAGUGUUGUCGGAGGAUUUAUGGUGGCUCAUCUUCCUCCGCCGCGUCCUUCGAGGUCAGAUUUUUCUGGUCCUUUGCGCAAUUUUCUUAGUGUGAGGUCUGGAGGUUGGCUGCGAAGGUUUGAGGAGUGGAUGCUUGAGGUGGCUGCAGCUCAAGACCUGGAGGAGACGCUGUCUGACGUUGAAGCUUCCGUUGGUGAUUUGAUUAGUGCGAAGGAAUUUGAGGAGAUGGCUUCGAUCACUUUUGAAUUUGGGGAGUCGACUGUGAGGGAGGAGGAUAUUGCCGAUAUGGUCGAGGCUAGGUUUUUCAAGGCGGGUCGAGCGAAGGCUCCACCUGCGGGUCAGACAGUACCUGCGUCUGAAGAGGGUUAUGCGGUGGUUUUCAGGGAUAUCUUCACCUGCGGACUUCGGAUGCCUCCGUAUCAUUUCCUUCGCGAAGUGAUGGAGAGUUUCAACGUGGAGCUGCAGCAUUUCAGCCCCAAUGGGAUACUGACCCUUAGCAAAUUUGCCUGGGCGUGUGAAUCAUACGGAGCUGCGCCUCACGUAGAUACUUUUUGCUCGUAUUUUGAACUCCAGCGCCAGCCUAAGAAGGUGAAGGAUGCCGAAGGAGUUGAACAUAUAGCGCAGUUUGGAAGCUGCGCGUUCAUGCCGCGCCGCACAAUGCCUGGGUCUAGGUGCGAGAUCUCCUACUGCCAGAAGGGCAAGUGGGAGAAGGAUUGGAUGAGGGCCUGGUUCUACGUGAAGACCUCCGCCGCGUCGAGGACUCUGGAGGACAGCAGUGUUGAUAAGGUGUAUCCUUAUGCGUCUGAGAUGAAGUCGCUUAGGCCUAUCCACAAGGUUGACCCUUCGAAUCCGGUUUCGGAGGAGCAGCUGGAGGCGCGACUGGCAUGCGACAAGGCCUUUGCUCUAGCCUGCCGAUACUCCAGAGGUCGGGAUUUAGUUGAGGAGAUGGUCGCAGCUGAUUACUGGCCCCUUGGCCGCAGGACUGACGAAUUCACCAUUGAAAUGGUGCAAGUGCCGGUCUUUGGCCCUCCGGAGGGAUUGCCGUUUCCCCGGUUUGGAGCAGGUUUGCCGGAGGAUGAGACUAAGGAGUCCUUCCUUGACCGCGUGGAGGUUUCUGCUCGGAGGAUUGUCGGGAAGAUCUCGGAGAAGGAGUAUCUCCAGCGGAGGUCUGCACUUGGUACGAUGCCUCGCUUCAACCGAGUGUUUGAGGAAUUGGGGAUUGAGUAUGAGGAUUAUGUUAUUCCUCCGGAUGUUUUGUUGGGAUUGGAGAAGAAGAAGGAUUCAUCCAAGGCCGUUGCUGCGGCGGAGGCUAAGAAGAGGAAGAGUGGUGGUGCUGUCAAGCAACUUGCGAAGAAGCGCAAGGCGGAGGUUGUGCUGGAGACUCCUGUGGAGUCUUCCUCCGCCCGCUCUUCUGCUGCCGAGUCUAACUCGGUGGCUUCUAUUCCUGCGGAGGCUGCUCCUGCUGGUGGAGUUCCUGAGGUUGAAGCCUCACGCGCGGUCUCUUCUGUACGCGCGCCUUUCGCGUCCCUUCUUGGGGAGGAGUCUUCCGACGCGGAGGCCCCUGAGGCGAGUCCUGCGCGGGAGGCAAAUCCUGCGGUGGCUGAGAGUCCUGCGCGGGAGGCUUUAGCUGGAGGAGGAUCUCCGCCGAAGGAUGGGCGGGAGGAAUCCAGUGAUGAUGCAGAGUCUGUCUCUGUUCGGAGGAUUAAGAGGGCGGAGGAUAUCUCGCGUCCGGCUGGAGAUGGUAUAAACUCGUUGUACAUGGGUAAAUUUUUUUUGUUGAUUCUUGUUUUUCUGUAUAUUAUUAUUUUUUGAUUGACUUGGUCUCAUGUUAUUUUUAUAUUUUUCAGAGGAUGUUUUUGCUGGGUUGGCUACCGCGGAGGAGUUGGCUAAAGGUGCCAGCGUUGUGCAGGAAGGACUUGCUGUUCCUCCGCGGCGCGAGCCUAUGCCUUCUGCGUUGGCCAGCAGACCUUCCCCUACUGAUGUUCUUGGUCCUGGUGAGUUUCUUCUUCUUUGUUCAACUCUUUGGUUUGUUUUUUGUUAUUUUAUUCUAAGGUUGGUUUUGGUUUUUGCGCAGGUGCUUCUGAUCCUUCGAUCACAGGUUGGACAGGUGCCUUGCGCGAGGUUCAUUCUUUGGUCGGAGGUUCGUAGUCUGGCCUCCGCUAAUGGGUUUUUGGUUCUUAUGAUUUUUCCUUACUUGUUUUCGAUUUACAGAUCGUUUCCGUCAGAAGCUUUGCAACAUGGACUUUGACACGCUACUCCGCGUGCAAUAUGAGCACCAUAGCCUUGUACGUUUGUGAUGUGUUAUAUUUUCCUUUGCCGUUUUUUGCUCGGAGGUUGGUUUUGACUUUUAUUUUUUGAGCAGGGUCAUCACAUGGCUGCCGCCUUGGAGGAGCGUUGCUCACGGGAGGUUAUUUGCCGGGACGAGGCUAUUGGUGCUCUGAAGAAGGAGAACGAGACCUUGGAGGUUGAGAAGGCUCGCCUGACGGAGGAGGUUAAGGAGUUUUCUUCCGUCCGGCGGGAAAUUGAGUCCCUGAGAAAGGAAAGAGAUGAUUACAAGGCUGGGUCGGAGGUCUUGAAGAAGGAGAAAGAAGAUGACCAAGCUUCGGCGGCUGUCCUCCGCACGAAUGUCACUGAGGCGGGGAGAGCUAGGGAUUUGGCCCUACAGCGAGCCGAGAAGGCAGAGGACAUUGCUGACCGCCUUCGCAACGAGCUUGAUGCUGAGCGGAUGUCUGCGGCUGAGCUGCAGACGCGCAUGCAGAAGGCGGAAGCGGAGGCUGCAGCUAUUGUUGGGCUCUAUGCCGACUCGCUGGCGCAGUUUGGGGGAAGCACCUCUGCUCCUCCGCCCAACGGCGACGCUGGGGCUGGCCUCGCAUGGCUGAAGUCUCAUAUCCGUAUGCUCCCUGACUUUGUCGGGGGUGCUGUUGAUUUUGGGGCUUUGGCCGCGGUUAGCUCCUUUGCUAAGCUGUUGCGUCGCGGAGGUUGCUCCCACGCGGAGGGAGUUGCCAAGGAGGAGUUCGCGUCUGCGGAGGAUGUUGGCGAGGGCACCUCGAGCCUGCGCAAAUCUGUCCGGAACUUCAUUAGUUCGUUCUGGAUUAGGUUUGGGCGGGCUGAGGCGAAGAAGAUGGCGGAAGCUCGUCGCGCUGAGGUAUUCUUUGUCUUGGUUUUUCUUUUUGUAUUCUGUUUUGCUGCUUUGCAAUGUUUCUUAAGCUUGUUGAUUUGCAGGAGAUUGCCAAGAGGGUGGCUAAGGUUGACAAGCCCGGUCCUUCGCGUCCCCCUAGCGAAGCGCGUCCUUCGACUCAGGCUGAGGCGGAGGUUCGUGACGCAAGUGUUAAGGCUCCAGAGGAAUCUGGUGCCAAGGAUUCGGCGCAGCCCGAGACUUCUGCCCCUCCUCCGCCUCAGGUGUGAGGCUUUUUAGUUUGUAGGUUUUUUCUUAGCUUUUUUGCGUCUGUAUGUGUGACGCUUUUUGUAAGUAAGGCCGAAGGUUCUGAUUAAUUUGUAAAGACUAUUGAAAAAUGUAAUAUAAAGAGUUGUUUUUGGAUAAGCCAUUUUUUACACUUUUAUCCUGCGCAGGUCUCUGGCGGAGGACCUGCGCAGGAUCUUAGCGAAACUCUGCUUUCAAUUUUCUAUAAAGGAAUUUAUGUUUCUGGCGAGUUGUGGGAGUACUGGCGGAUUGCCUUCCCCAAUAUGAGAGUGGUGGAUAUGUUUGAGUUUGUUGGAUACGACCUGGAUGACGAACGAUCUGAAUUCGUCCGGUCGCUUGCGCGCCGAGGUUCAUGGCCUCCGGCUUAGGUUGUUGUUUUUGUCUUGUUUUUCGCUUAUCGUGGACUAUGCGUUUAUUUGUUUGACAUGGUUUGAUGUGUUUAUGCAGUUGCCAUAUCCUAUCCUUCGCAUCUUUGGUGAGAAGGAUAGGGUACGCUGGGUGACGGAGGUUCCCGAGGAUGUUGCUGAGCCUUUUAUUCAUGGUUUUCCGGAGGUUCGAAAGCUUCGUUAUACGUUUUGGUUUUAUCCUUCGUUAGGGUUGGUUUUGAAAUUGCUCUUUUUGCGCAGGUUGUGAGAUCUGCUCCGGAGGUUGUUCUUCCUUCGAACUUUGUAUUGAUGACUUAGUUGAUUUUCUUGUUGAAGAUUACUGCGAUGAGCUUAGGCUUUUUCCGGAUUCGUAUGUAAAAAUUGUGCGAGAGUCUUAGAACCUUCGACUUUUGACGGUCGAAGGAUGUUUUCCGUUUUUUGUUGUAAACUGCUGUUCUGCGCAUUGUUUAUUAAAGAUCAGUCAUUUUUACGAUUGCCUUGGCUACGCUCUUCGCACUCUUAGCUGUGUUUCUAUUACAACCUUCGCGACUUUGUACACAGUGUUUAUACAUUGAAACGUCACGGUGGUGUUGAUCCUAAGGAUCUUUGUCUUGCUGUGGUACCUUCAUACUUGAUGUUUGAUGUUGCGAGGGCGAUGGUGGUCAUUUCUUGUGCGCAGGAUCGCCGCUUAUUGGCCUUAGGACCUUCGCUUUUUCUGGUGCGGAGGAUCAUCUGCUGAAUUGUGCUAUUUUUUCCUUUGCUCAACUCCCGUGGAGUGUUGUCGAGGAGAACCUUCGGGUAUGUGUGUCGAAGGUUCUGAAGGGAUGUUACGAGACUUCGUGCGAUACCCUUCAGAGACCUCUGAGUCUCACUUGUAAUUGUUUUGUUGUGGCUGUACACGACUCUGUGGUCGAUGUUCAUCACAACGCCGUGGUUCUAACAUUACGAAGCUUCGUGCAGUACCAACUUUUGUUGCUGCUGUGAGGCUAACUCCUGCUUCCUUGGUGACCUAGGAUUUUUCUUUUUUGAUUGCUAGGUUUGCACUUGUUGGUUGGGUCUGUGUAUAUUGAUCCUGACUGAGGGAGGAGGGGCGUGGUGUGCUUGGUUUUAUAGGGUUUCGUGCAUUUAUUGCGCGUACCUUGUUAGGUUAGAAGUUAUUUUCGAGUUAUGGAUGGUUGUUGUGAUUGUUGUGGUAGUUGGUUCUAUUUUACAUGACUGGGGAUUUUCGUGGGGUUUGUUUUAUUUUCACAUUUUGUGUGCCAGAGGUUUGCUUGGAGGAGCAGGAUACCUUCGAUCUUUCCUUGGUGAAGGUUAUUUAAUUUUUUUUUUUGAAAGUGGAACCUUCGCUGCCUUUUGGCAGAAGUAGUAUAGUCCCCGAUGCCUGAUUGUCUUCAGGUCUUUGUCAGGUUUGAAGGUUUUGUCCCUUCUGGCCAUGUUGUGAUGCCUGAGGAGGACAGGUCUUUUUCACUUUUUGGCCAAGUUGUCCUUGCUGCCCGGCUCUUGGCUAGGUCUUCUGCUAAGGAUUUGGUGUUUUUUCACCUUUGAGGACGUUCCGAGCUUUCUUAGCUUUUGGAUGAAAGCUGCGGAGGGUCCUUGUGAUCACGUGAUGUUUUGUCGAAUGCUACAGCCUCGUUGCUGGCUGUUUUUUGACUUUUGGGCUUUGGUUCUGGGGUGGAUUCCUCUUUAUAUCUCAGAGAUUUUUACAUAGGUUCUGCCUCGUUAAAAACCUCACCUCCUAGUAGGAGUACCCCUGUGAGGAAAAGAGUGCAGACCUUGGAGUGCGAAAAAGUAGAGAGAAAAAGAAAACAAGCGUAUUUAGGGACGUGGAUGCCGCCGCUUAUUUUGCGGGGGUCAUCCUUACACUCAAAUGUAAAAUCUUCGUAGAUUGUCGACGUUCCACGUGUGGGUGGAGGUUCUACCUUCGAGGUCUUUCAGGUGGAAGGAUCCCGACCUUCCCGCUUGUAUUGCUGUAUAAGGUCCUUCCCACUUGGGUUGCAAUUUACCAGCGUUUGGGUGAUUUCCUUUUUUCCUGAGUACUAGGUCCCCAUUUUGUAUGUCUUUCUGUACUACCUUGCGGUAUCUCCAUUUCUUGGUUUCUUAUUGAUACCUGGUAAUGUUCUCCACUGCCUCAAGUCUUAUUGAUUCUAAGGUUUCCUUGCAGUAGUCUUCAUCUUCAGCCAACUGCUGCUUCAUGGAAUGCAGGCUUUGGUGUUUGAUUUCUUCGGGCAACAUUGCCUCUUCCCCAUACAAGAGCUUGAAUGGAGUGAACCCAGUUGUUCUUGAAACUGUUGUGUUAUGUGACCAUACAACUCUGGGUAGUUCUUCAACCCAUUUCCCCUUGCGUAGGUUGAGUAAGGUCUUGGAGAUUGCGGAGAAUAUUGUUCUGUUUGCUCUCUCUACGGCCCCGUUUGACUCUGGGUGAUAAACAGACGCGAAAGCAAUUUUGGUUCCUAUGUGAUGGCAGAAUUCCUUGAAACUGUCUGAAUCAAACUGCUUCCCGUUGUCAACUGUGAGCAAGCUUGGAACUCCGAAUCUGCAGACUAUGUUCUGCCAGAAAAAUUUCCUGAUUGUUUCAGAGGUUAUGGUUGCCAGUGGCUUAGCUUCGAUCCAUCUUGUGAAGUAUUCGAUGGCCACGACGGCGAAUUUGUUUCCCCCCUGGGCAGUUGGCAUUGGUCCUACCAGGUCCAUUCCCCAUCUCUGCAACGGCGAUGAUGCUGGUAUGAGCUGAGUUAGUGCUGAAGGUCCUGAUUAAAUUGGUGAGAAGGUUUGGCAAGCUUUGCAUGUCUUCACUAUUUCUUCAGCAUCUUUGAUGUGGGUUGGCCAGUAGAAGCCUUGUCUUAAUGCUUUAGCAGAUAAUGCGCGAGGUCCAAUGUGAGAACCGCAUAUUCCAGAGUGUAUCUCUUUCAGGAGUUCUCUGCCUUCGCUUUGUGAUAUGCAUCUCAGCAAAGGUGGGACUACGCCUUUCUUGUACAGGACCCCGUCAAUGGUGGUGUAAUUCCUUGCUCUUGCCUCCAUCCUCUUGGCUAAUGCUUCAUCAUCUGCAGCUGUCUUGCCUUUGAGGCAAUCAGCUAUUGCCUGCCUCCAAUCUUCGCUUUCUGUCAGCAGGACUGAGCGAAAAGCUUUUGGCAACGAUUCGGUUGCGGGUGUUGUAACAAUCUGGUAGAAGGUUCCUUCUGGCAAGGGGGUGUUGUUGGCUGCUGCUUUCGCUAGCUCGUCUGCCUCGUAGUUCUCGGCUCUUGGAAUGUACUGCAGAGUGAAUCCCUUGAACCUUCUCUCCAGGCCUCUUACGACGGCCAGAUAUCUUGCUAGCUCCGGGUUGUGUGCUAGGUAUUCCUUCUCCACUUGUCCUGCCACCACCUGGGAGUCUGUUUUGAUGAGCAGGGUUUUUGCUCCCGAAGCCUUAGCUUUGUUCAGCCCGAGGAUGAGACCUUCAUACUCAGCUAUGUUGUUUGUUGCUUUGAAUUCGAGUCUUGCAGCAGAUUUUAGCUUGAGUCCGGUUGGUGCGAUCAGAACGGCUGCUGCUCCUGCUCCUGACUGCCCCCAGGCGCCAUCUGUGUACAGUGUCCACGGCUGGUCGACUACCUUCUCCUCUUUUUUGUUUGAAGGUGUCCAAUCUGCCAUGAAGUCAGCCAGGGCUUGAGAUUUGAUGGAGGUUCUGGGGACAUAGGUGAUGUCAAACUGUGAUAGUUCGACCGCCCAUUUUCCUAUACGUCCGGAAGCCUCCUUGUUCCUAAGGAUAUCACCCAAUGGCUGUGAAGUGGGUACUUUGAUCUCAUGGCUUUGGAAGUAAUGCUUGAGCUUCCUUGAUGCGCACAAGACCGCGUACGUGAUUUUCUCUAUCUCCGUGUAGUUCAACUUUGCUCCUGACAGAGCUUCGGACACAUAGUAGACGGGUCUUUGCAGUGUUCCCUUGCUGUCGCUUGUCUCGUGUACCAAAACAGCACUGACGGCGUGCUCGGAGGCAGCCACAUACAGCAGUAGUGGGGUGUCCGGCUCGGGCACGGUUACCACCAGGUUGGAUGCGAUAUAGCUCUUGAGUUGCCUGAAGGCCUCUGAUUGUUCUGGGCCCCAUUCUGUUUUGCCUCCUCCUCUCAGCACUUUGAAGAAUGGAAGGCUUCGUUCUGUGGAUCUUGAAAUGAAUCUGUUGAGGGCUGCUAUUCGGCCAGUCAACCUUUGCACUUCUUUCUUUGUUGAAGGUUCUGCCAUUGACAUGAUUGCCUUUAUCUUGUCUGGGUUAGCUCUGAUUCCUUCAGAGCUGAUGAUAUAUCCCAACAUUUUUCCUUUGCUAACCCCGAAUACACAUUUCUCCGGGUUUAGUUUCAGCCCGGCGGAUCUGAGGUUGACAAAGGUUUCCUGCAGGUCCUUGAUAUGAUCUUCUUUGCGCUUGCUCAUGACGACAACGUCGUCAACAUAGGCUAUGAUGUUUCUCUGCAGCUGACUUCCCAGAACCUUCCCCAUCAUUCUGGAGAAGGUUGCUCCAGCGUUUUUGAGACCUUCCAGCAUUCUGGUGUAGCAAUACGUGCCGAACGGGGUUGUGAAGCUUGCCUUCCCCUCGUCUUCCUUUUUGAGCCAAAUUUGGUGGUAUCCGGAGAAACAAUCCAGUAGUGAAAAUCUCUGGCAACCAGCGGCUUUGUCAACGGAGGUAUCUAUCCUUGGCAAGGGGAAGGAGUCUUUGACACAAGCCUUGUUGAGGUCUGUGAAGUCUAUGCACAUUCUCAUUUUACCAUUCUUCUUGGGGACCAGGACCACAUUCGCCAACCACUCCGGGUACAUGACCUCUCUGAUGACCUUUGCAUCCAGAAGUCUUUGUACCUCUGCCUUCGCGGCUAAGGUUCUUUCUUCAGACAUUUUUCUCUGUCUUUGCUUCUUUGGCCUCAUUCUCGGAUCGAUGUCCAGCGAAUGCUCUAUGAUAUCUCUGCUGACUCCCUGCAGGUCAGCGGCACUCCAAGCGAAGAUAUCUUGAUUCUUUUGCAACACGUCCAGCAAAUUCAGUUCCUCCUCUCUACUGAGGGUGGCGGAGAUGGUGAUCUUCCUAUCUGGAACGGCCUCCUACAGAGGGACACAUUUCGUUUCCUCCUGAUCGGCCAGGUCUGUUUUACCCCUUGGCAUGUCUGGUGGCUGGGAAGCUUCCUGUUGCGUAGAGUCCACAGAGUUUAUGUUCCGGAAGGACUUGUAAAUCGCUUUCUCUAUGUUCCUUGCCUCCUUUUGACUUCCGUGAACCGUUAUCACUCCAUGCAGAGCCGGGAUUUUCAUGCACAGGUAUCCCAUGUGAGCGGCCGCAUUGAACUUGUUCAAGAAUCCUCGCCCGAAUAUGGCAUUGUAUGGGUAGUGCAGGUCUACCACAUCGAAGGUGACGUACUUUGUUCUUGCGUUCUUCGAUGUGCCGAAGGAUACGGGCAAGGCGACCUUCCCCAGAGCAUGUAUCUGCUUUCCUCCGAACCCGAUCAAAGGUGACUCCGAAGGUUGGAGUUGGCUUCUGCUGAGCUUCAUUUGGUCGAAGGUUCCAGCAAAUAUUAUGUCUGCGGAACUCCCUGAAUCUACUAAGAUCCUGCUUACUCCCCAACCCGCAACAUUCGUUGUUAUGACCAACGCAUCUGUGUGAGGGUAGCUCUCCAACCUUAGAUCUUCCUCGGUGAAGGUUAUUGGGGUUCUGGACCAAUCGGUGCAUCUUACUGGCCCUUGAACUGCAACGUUGUUGACGAGCCGGAGGUGAUCCUUCUUCUGCUUCUUUGUCUGGAACUCCAUUGAGGACCCUCCAGCUAUUGGUAAGAUCAUUCCAAUCGUGGGCAGGGGUGUAUGAGGGCCGAUCUAAUUAUCGGGGUGGGGUUCGGUUUUUGGUGGGGGUGGAGCUUGGAGUAGCUGCAGCUGGUUUGGGGGAGGAGGUAGUGACUGCUGGCGGGGCUGCGGGGUUUCGAUGUAUGUAAUAUGUGGAGGUCGUGGAGGAACAUAGUUUGGUGGAAGGUUGUGAUCUGCGGGCUGCUGUGCUGGGCGCCAAGCUGGUAGGAAGCUGGGAUAGUAAGCGGAGGCUAGCGCGUUCGACUGAAUUGGAGCUGGGUGCUGCUGGCUUGAUCCUCCGACAUAUGAAUGGUAGAAGGUUUGAGGGAAUGUGUGAUUCACCUCCCGAGGUUGAGCAACUGGUGUCGGAGGUUGCGGAGCUGACCUGCUCUUAAUCCUCUCCUGAGUUUCCUUUGCAUCCGGGCAAUCCCUGGUGGAGUGACCCUUCUCCUCCCCAUGGAAGAAACAAUAUUGCUUCCGUGGCCGCUGAUUUUGAUUUUUUGGCCAUCCUGCGUUUCGGCCCCCUCUUCCGGCUUGAUUGGGUCUGCGUUCCGAGUUUCGCAUUUCCGCCGGUGGACGGUUAUGUUCCGGCCUGUCACUCUUUGGUUGCUCAAUAUUCAUCAUCUGUCCACUAGCCUCUCGCUGUGGUCGGCGUUCAUCUUGGCUAAGGCUCUUCUUCUGCGAAUUUCUGUCAUUGCCCUGCCACUUCUGGGAGUUUUGGUCUUCCAAUCUCUUGCGGUAGUCGUUGUCCGACCUGCAAUACUUUUCGAACUCAUGGUACAGCUCGUGCAUGGAUGCUGGUUUUUCUCUGGCCAAGUGAGCUACGAAAGGUCCUAUGCGAAGACCUUUGAUAGCUGCCUCAAUGGCAACCUCUUCCGGCACGCCGGGUGCCCUGGCCUUGGUCUGCACGAAUCUUUGGAAGUAUUCCCGCAGUGCCUCUCCCUGACUUUGGCGACACUGGAACAGGUCCGUGGAGGUCAGUGAUUCAACCGCGAACCCCUAGAAGUUUGCCAAAAUCUUGUCUCGAAGGUUCUCCCAUGAAUAGAUCGACCCGGGUCUGAGCAUUGAGUACCAUGCCAAGGCAUCUCCUUCGGCCGUGAUCACAAAGGAUUUCGCCAUUACAGUUUCGUUCCCUCCAGCUGAGGCUACAGCUGCCUCGAAACUCAUCAGGAAUUGGCGGGGGUCAGCUUUUCCAUUGAACUUGGGGAGCGUGAUUGGUUUGUAGGUUGCCGGCCAAGGUGAGGUUUGCAAUCCUUCGGAUAAGGGGGAACGAAGGUCCAGUGUGCCCCUCAGCGCGCCACCGUAACUUGUUAGCUGCGCACUUACUGACGGACCGGCGCCGGGUUGGACAGUGGGUUCGACCGUCGGUUGUGGAGGUUGCAUGCUAAGGAUAUCCGCCUGCAGGAUUGAAAGCUGCUGCCUGAUCUCUGCUGCCUGCGCUGCAGCUACUGCUGCCUCUUGGCUGGUGGCGUAGGCGGCAGCGAUUCGGUCUCGCUCCUGCUGAAGGUUCUGCAGCUGCGUCUGUAGUAGCUGGAGCUCUUGCGUGGCCGUGGGUUGUGCCGGGCCUGCGGCGGGAGAAGGUUCCUGGCUGGGAUCCGGCUGCUCGUUCUCCGGCUGCUCGCCCUCAGAGCCUUCCCCCUCUACGGUCGCAUACGUGCUCCGCACGGCCCUUCUCGGCCUUCCCCUCCUGGGGGGCUCUGCCCGAGGUCUUGUGGUGCUAGUUCUCUUUCCAGCCAUCGUAGGUGAUCCUUCGAGGCCCCACGGUGGGCGCCAAUGUUGGGAAAAUGCUCUCCGCACUCCCCAGCAGUAUGGUGGAUCGAGAACCUUCUGACUCGGUGCUGUGAGAGGUUUGAGCACUAACGGACAGUGGGCUCAACAGUAGGUGAAUACAGUGAAUGCUCUCUCUCUUUAUUAAUAACGGCAUCACCCCUUAUAUAGGGCUCAGAAACCGACCUAAUGACAUUUACAAAAAUGCCCCGUGACGGUGGGGGAAUAUCCCAGCAUAUUCUCUAAUUACAAUCUACCGACUCCAAGUCACUCGCGUAAUUUCGCAUUACAAAGACCACGCGUGCCCCCUGUCUAGGGCUUCAGCCGGUCGGAGGCUUGGAUCCUCCGCCCGGUCGCGGAUCCUUCGACACUUCAUGUGUCGGAGGUUCCUUAGCUCGGACACGCCGGGGGUUCCUCGGCUCAGCUGUCCUGGAGGUUCCUUGGCUCGCCCGGUCGCCGAUCCUUCGACGCGUCUCCGUCGGAGGUUCCCUGACUUGGACGCGUCGGAGGUCCCUCGCCUCCGCCGCGUCCUCAACCAUCCUCGGACUUGAGAGGGCCAGAGGUUACUCUCUUCCUUGCUUGUGGGCCUCCGCUGGUGCAGUCCCUGCACGCACUUAGCACGACAAGACAAGUCAUCAAUAUUAGUCUUUUUUCAGGGUCCUCCGCACGCAACUCCACGAAGGUUCCCUGGGUGGAGGAUAUCCUCCGACACUUCAGAGGUCGGAGGUUCCUUGGCUUGAAGGGCAUCCUUAGACGCUGCCAGGGGGAAGGGUGCGGCCAUCCCCCAACACAACCAGCAAUGGAUAAACUGGAUCAAAACCCUGCUGGAAUCUUCAAAAUCAGCAGUCUUGGUCAUUGGCUGUCCAGGGCCUUGGAUUAACUGCAAGCGAGGAGUCCGACAGGGAGAUCCUCUUUCGCCAUACCUGUUCCUCCUUGUCGCAGAAACUUUGCAACGUUUGCUUGUGUCCUGUCCUUUCAUCAGACAUCCUACAGAUGACGACAAACCCUGUGUUGUGCUCCAAUAUGCCGAUGACACGCUAAUUGUGAUGAAAGCUGACCCCCUGGCCGCCUCAAAGCUCAAAGAAAUCUUGCAACAGUUUGCUGCCUUCUCAGGAUUGCACAUCAACUUUGGCAAAAGCUAACUGGUGCCGAUUCAUGUGAACUCUGGAGUUGUACAACUGUGUGUUCAGAGCCUGGGUUGCAAACUUGAAUCCUUCCCCCAGCAGUACCUGGGUCUUCCCCUCUCUGCUAACAAGCUCCCAGUUUCGGCUUUCAUCCCCCACAUCCAGAAGACGGACAAAUACCUCGGUUCAUGGCAAGCCACACUUCUCAAUCCCAUGGGUCGUGCGGUGCUGGUUAAUGCAGUGUUGGAUUCCAUCCUGGUCUACCUGAUGAGCUCCAUCCAGCUACCGCCGUCUGCCAUCCUCCAAAUGGACAAAAAGAGAAGAGCUUUCCUUUGGUGUGGCGACAAGCUAGGAAUUUCAAAGCUAGCGUCUUGUUUGGUUGCUUGGACAAAUGUUUGCCUACCCAAAGAACAAGGCGGCCUGGGGAUCAGAGACCUCGGGACACAAAACAUCUGCCUCCUACUGAAACUGAUACACAGAUUGCACUGCCCAUCGACUUCAGCUUGGGCCGACUGGGUCAGAAACAGAAUAUCCCUGACUUCUAUGACUGGAGACGUCUCCGGGGAUCACUGGACUUGUCUGCGAGCAUUGUUACCUCUUUAUCAGGCAAUCACAACGGUGAAGGUCAGGGACGGCAAAAGUUGCUCCUUCUGGGCGGAUGCUUGGCUUGGCGAUGAAGCUCUAGAAGAUACUUUCCCAGCGCUCUACAGCCACUGCACUCUCAAGCAGGCCUCGGUCCACGAUGUUCUUGAGAUGGGACUUCCUCAGAUCUUAGUGCCAAGACUUUCAUCUCAAGCAACGUCUCAGCUGCAUAGUCUCCAGCUACUGCUCAAUGGCAUAACUCUAACCCAGGGCAUGGACAUCAGGACUCCGGUGAUGAAGAAGAAAGACAACAAUAUUGACACAGGGAGUCUCUACAGGAUGUUAAAGGCACGUGGGCAAGAUGAUCCCAGGGCGCAUUCAUCUAGAAAAACUCUGCCCCCCAGAGUCCAGCUCUUCAUGUGGCUGCUACUUCAAAAGAAAAUCCAGUGCAAAUCGACCCUAUUCAAAAGGCAUGUUGUAGACGACACUACUUGUGAGAUCUGCGGCGCUGCUGAUGAAACACCGGAACACAUCAUUUGGGGGUGCUGCCUGGGAAGGACAGUUUGGCAAAGACUGAACAUCCAACCCGGGGACCCCAUGGACAUGGCGUCGCUGCACACCGCAGCACCCCCAAGCCAUAUGCCUUCGGUUGAAUUCCCGGGGUUCAUUGCUCUCAUCUGUUGGGAGAUAUGGAAAGCCAGAAACGCAAAAGUGUUCAGAGGCGAAUCACUAUCAGCUGAUCAGGUGCUUCUCCUCUGCAAAAACGCUGCUGCCCAAUGGAAGCACAGACUCUCGAGGUCCAAGAAACAGUUAGCUGACACUUGGUGCUCCAUCUUUACGAUGGCUAGACAGGGUCAAGGUUAACUUGCCUUUUCUUUCUUUUACCUCUUCUUAUUGCUCCUAGACUUUCAAGUCUCUGAGCUUUGAGCUUUGCUCCUCUAUGUAAACCAACGAGCCGUUUUGGGCUGUUUAAUAAACUCAGGCCUUGUUUGAAUGUAGUCGUAUUCACAUCAAUCCACAUGUGUUGAAGUGGAUUGGAGUGGAACUUGAACUAAAUUCCACUCCAAUCCACACCAACACACAUGGAUUGAAGUAAAUACGACAACAUCCAAACAAGGCCUCAGGUGGGGAAUCUCCCCCCCGUUGACCCUCAAAAAAAAAACCUAGUGGAGGUGUUUCGAUCCUCCAGUUUUUAAGAAUCUGACUGCUUACAGGGUCACAAGAAACUGAUAAAAACUAAACAGCUCUUGAUUUUUUAAAAUAAUGAGAAACUGGACAAAGACUAGUAUGUUUGUAUAUCCCUCCCGAUUUUCAAAAACCAUAUUCUUAAAAAAAAUGGUGGGAUACAAACAGGGAUUAUCCUUGUUUUGCUAAUAAUCACGAUUCAACUGCUGACCUCUCCAACCCUCUUUCGGACAAGACAAGGUGUUUGCCUAUUUAAUAUGGCCAUACGUUGCAUGUAUGAUUCUACUUGAGAGCUUGUUUGGAUAUAUUUAGAUUCGCAUCAAUCUAUAUAUAGUGAUAAAAUUAUUUUUUCUCUUAUGCAUGCAAGGAAAAAAAGAAACAAAGAAAUGAGAAAUAAGACAUUUUUUCUCUUAUGCUCAGCACCCUGGCUUAGCUCAGGUCCCUCCAUUGCAGGCGCCGAGCUACACACUGCCUCCCCCCCCCCCCAAAUCUUAGCACCUAGCCCAGCCUCAAAUCCUAGCGCAGUGGCACACAAGCUAGUCCAGCCACCCUCAAACGCCUCUAUUGACGCAGAUAUCGGUCAGAUGAUCACACACCAGCUAGGGAUACAUCAACUGGGUCGCCAUAGACCGAAUAACGCAGCACGUAACAAUAUGCUUUCACGGUGAGGAAUAGAGAGGUUUAUGAGCAAAACAUUAAAGGAUAGGCAAUCAUGCUUACAUAAUAAAUAAUGGUUAGCUUUGGGCAAACUCGUGCGCCUUGUCACGUAUCCAGAGGUCCAGAAGAUGCUGCACCAUGAGCUCAGUGGUGAUGGCGACAACCAUCCGAGGAGUGCCCCUAAGAGUUGCUAUACCUGCACGUUGUCAUCCUCGAGAGCCUACGGCUACACAUGCUAGUGCCAUUCAUCUCACACCAUGGCCACGGCUGCGACAGCAGUCCUACUCCCACCGCUUGAUGGCACGCAUGGCAAAGGACAUCGAGAGGGACCCCAAGGCAUGGAUGAACCCUAAGGGGUUUAGGUCAAAGUGGUUUCGUGACGAUGACGAAGGCAAGGACAUGAGCCCUAUUCCACGACCCAAAGAGAUCCGAAUGAUGCCAUUUGGAGCUAGGUGCAGGCAUUGCCCUAGUGAGUGGCGGUGGCAUUGACCACACGUCCACCAUCUCGUUGUUCUUGAAGGUGAUGGUGUUGCUGUUGAGAGCAGGCAUCAUGAUAUCGACGUACUACUUAGUUGUUGGUGUGGAAUCAUGAUAUCGACGUACUACUCUAUCCCAUAAAAAAAAGUCGAGAGACUCGUAAGUUUGACUAGAUUUGUAUAAAAUAUUUAGAAAUACUCGUUUACGGGCGCCUGAUAGUUGGUAUCUCUGUCAAUCAAUGUGCUCGCGCAACAGAUCCAAAAUUGAUUAUCCAAAUUCAUCUUCCUCCUAGCCGCAUCCCAUUCAUCAUCCUUCAUUCCAGCGUCUCCUCUCUCUCUCUCUCUCUCUCUGAGAUUCAUGGUUGUCAACUCUAGUGAGCUCCUCCCCAGUGCUCGCACCCCCAACCCCUUCUUCCCUAACUCUGGCAGGCUUAGAAGAGAUGGGGUUUAGGUGGAGGAAGGCUGACUAGGCGGUGGGGCGGUGGCAUAACGGUUUUUGGGACCGUGGUGGUGGCGAUGGAGGCGACCAUGUCAAGUCAGGAUGGAGGAGUCCAUGGCUAGAGGUUGCCGCAAAAGAAGGAGAGGGAGAGGAAUAUGGGAACCGAUGCAGACGCGCUAGGGUUUUGUCUAAAGGAGAGGAUAGCACGGUAGCAGGGGUGAUGACAAGGAGGAGUAUGGGUUGAGGGAACCAUUGGCCGAAGGCGUGGCGGAAGAAGGGUGCAGGGCAUUGGUGGCAAGGAAGAAGAAAGCGAUCCGCGGCCCUGCGACACUAGUAGGAAGAUACCACCAAGAGCAAGAGGUUGAAGAUGACCACCAGGGCAUUUGUGAAUCAGCUAGCUAGAGCAUCAAAUAUUCAAAUAUAUCAUCUUUGAGUGAAGAUGUUACAACUACACAACAUCAUACAUACAUCUGUAGAACAAGUUCAUAACAGUCUGUCUGUCUCGUGUUGCAAUGCAACGAACGAACCAGCGAGCAGUUCAUCACAUCACUCCGCCGGCCGUCUUGCUGUGUCGCAGGCAGAAGGACUUGAGCCUGUCAAGGCCGUCUUCGAGAGAAGAUGGGUCAAUUGCAAAGGUGAUCCGGAGCCAAUCCUUGCAUCCCACAACACGUCCUGACAAGAAGUUGUUUCCACCAUGUUACAUUACAGUACGUCUCAAACACAAAAGGUGAUCUCGAUCUCAAGGUGGAUGCAAAAAAUGUCUUGUACUACUAAACAGAUUGAUGAACUGAUGUGUAUUAGUUCUACAACUAUAGUUUCAAAAGAAUCAAUCAUGUAUAUAUUCAGGAGAAUAAUAAAGCACCU